UUCCAUCUAUGUAGAUGACAUAGUCUACACUGGAAACUGUAAAACAAUGCUAGAAAAAUUCAAGGAAGAUAUGAAGAUGAAAUAUGAGAUGACAGAUUUGGGAUUGUUACAUCACUUUCUUGGAAUGGGGGUGAUCCAAACCGACUCUAGCAUCUUCAUUCAUCAGAAGAAGUAUGCAAGUUCUUUACUAAGCAAGUUCGGUCUGAAUGAGUGCAAAUCUGUGAUCACACCACUUGUGGCAACUGAGAAAUUAACUAAAGAUGAUGGAAGUGGAGCAGUAAGUGAAGAGUUAUACAGAAGCAUUGUGGGAAGUCUUCUAUAUCUCACUGCUACUAGGCUAGACAUCAUGUAUGCAUCUAGUUUACUUGCUAGAUUUAUACACUGUCCUACUAGCAAGCAUUUUGGAACUGCCAAACGUGUGCUCAGGUACAUCAAAGGGACUAUAGACUAUGGUUUGGAGUAUACAAAGGGCAAGAAAGCAAUGUUGAUUGGCUAUUGCGACAGUGACUGGGGUGGAUCAUCAGAUGAUAGCAAAAGUACAUCUGGAUAUGCAUUUUCUUUUGGAAGUGGAGUUUUUUCUUGGGCUUCAGUUAAACAAAGUUAUGUGACAUUAUCCACUGCAGAAGCAGAGUACAUAAGUGCAUCAGAGGCUACUACUCAAGCUAUAUGGCUGAGAUUUGUCUUGGAAGAUUUCGGAGAACUACAGACUGAAGCCACUUCUCUUCACUGUGACAACACUUCUGCCAUUGCAAUCACUAGGAAUUCUGUCUUUCAUCAAAAGACCAAACACAUAGACAGAAGGUAUCACUUCAUUAAAGAUGCACUGCAAGAAGGAAUCAUUGAUUUGAUUUAUUGUCCCACUGAAGAGCAGAUAGCAGAUAUUUUCACAAAACCUUUAGCCAAUGAUCGGUUCAACUAUCUCAGAAAUUUGCUUGGAGUGAAAUCAGCUCAAGACUUAAAGGGGAGUGUUGAAUUAUAAGUCUCUAGCUGAUUAGAAAUAAGUUGUGAAGUUAAUAUGUGUAUGCACUUAUGUUAAAAUACUAAGUGAGAAGAUAUAUAGAUGUAAAGACCAUGAGUGCCAUGUGUGAUGAUCUUAUAGAUUAGCUAAAUGUGUGGCUGAGAUCUAUUAUUUUGAAUGUCCUUGAUCCAGCUCAGGUUUUGUAAAGCUAUAUAUCCUCUCUUGCACGUUGAGUGCAAGCUAGAGAGACAUUUAAUGAAAACAUUAUUCUUCUGAGUAAUUGCAGAAGAAAGAACCACCACAUUCUCUCUCUGUUUUCUUCUUCUCUUUCGAAUUUGCUCUCUCUAAAAUACUAACAUCGCCUGCUAAUCUCCGAGUCCAUGCCAAACUCAUCAUCACGAUCAUCCAUACACUCUGCUACAGAACCCUCGCAGCGAGGUCUCACUGGAACCCAGCUCACCCCAUGAUCGCCGCCUGCAUCAACGGAGAUGAUCAGAGCGGCCACGAAGGCCAAGGAAAAGAUAAUCGCUGAGGAAUUGGCCAUAGGUUUUGGUAUGGUCUGUGUUUUUAGCUGCCAACUUGUAUUUUGUUGUACGCCUGUUUAAUUACAGAGGGAGACAGAUGAGGCGGCAAGAGAGAGAAGAUAAAGUUGGUGAAUUCUUAUGUGUAUAUUAUUGCACUCCAUUGUGUUAUUUAUAGUAGUAAAAAGUAUAAAAAAGGGAAAGUCCUUGUUCUUUAAUUAAUCCAUAGUAGUAAGAAGGGAAAAUCCUUAUCUUUCAGGUAAUCCAUCUUAGAUAAGACACAAUCUACAAGAUAUUCUGCAGUCCCAUAAGGAUUUUUUACACACAUUCCUAGUAAGUUUGGACUUUGAUAUAUUUAAAUUUGAUUAAAUGAAAAAUUGGAUGCUGAUUUCUUCAAGGAGGUGAUUGUGGAUGCAAAUUUCUCCCUUAUUGAUCUUGGACAAAAUUGCACCUACAAAACAAUUAACACCUUAGGAUCAAGGCCAAGAGCCUCACGCGCCCACGAUGAACGCCGGGGGGGGGGGAGCUUUGGCCGAAGAACCUCUGAUGCCAAAGUUAGAAUUUAGAGAGAAAAGUGUUUAGAGAGUAUUGAGAAUUUUGCAAGUGUGUUGGACCUAGGUUUUGGUGAAAAUGGGAGUCAAUACAUAGGGCAUAGGGUGUAACUUAUGGUUUAAUGUGUGAUUUAAUGGAUUAAUUAGGCAAUUAAUCCAUUGAUUGGUUAAUCAACACAUUUUUGGAAUAAAUAUUUUGGGGGUUAUGUAAUUUAUACCUUGUGGAAAAUAUAGAAUGAGGAUGGAUGAAAUAACUUUGAAUUUGUUACUUAUUUUGGGCACGUUUGAUUUGGUUGAAGGAUAAUUAACCGCUGCUCGCACGUAGGAAUGCCGUUGUAACUCAAGAGUAUUUUGUCUUCUUUUGUCCAAAAAUCCAUGUGUUGCCUUGUGAUUAUUUUUGGCUCCAUAGUGAUUACUUAAAUGACUUGCACUAAUUAGCCUUAGGGCUAGUUUGGUAUUCCUGUGCUUUGAAAAAAAAACUGCUUCUGCUGUGAAAUAAAGCGGUAGAGUGUUUGGUAAACUUUUUUGUAAAAGUGCUUUUAGCAAAAAAAUCAGUGUUAAAGUGCUUGGUAAAUUUUUAUAUAAAACUGCUAUGAUUAUGUUAAAUGACUAAAAAUGAUAUAAUGUUAAAUUUAAUAUAUAAUUUUUUAUUUUUUAAUCUCUAUAAUUGUCGAGUCAUCCAAACUCUUCCAUUUUCCAAAUCCCAUUUAUAAUUCUAGAGUCAUCCUUUUCGCCUAAUUUUUUUUUUCAUUUGACUUUCAGAUCCGAUAUGUUAGCGUUCCGUUGGUCAUCAGACAGGAUCACACUAAGCGUAGGCUGUUUCCGGAUCAGAUCUAGCCGAAGAGCUCUCCCCCUAUAACUUGAAUAUGGCAGUUUCCCACUAGCCGCUUAAAGGAGUACUCAAGGAUUACCCUAUUACCAAUCUCGAAUUGGCCUCCUACUGUCCUCGCUAAGAAAGAGUCUGCCCGCUUAAUUCAAUGAAGGAGUUGAUAUUUAUCUAUUAAAGUAAUUUAUCAAUUACGGAAUUCAAGGUCGGAUGAUAUCAGUUCUCUGUACCCAAGAAGUUCGGGGAAAGGAAAUAGAAGCAAUGCAGACUGAAUUUGACGAACUCCCCACCCAUACUAAAAAGCAAAUAAAGACCCAUGUUUAGCGUCCUCCACUCUAAGGACCACAUUAUUGAAUAUGAUAGUAGACAGAUGGCAUUAUCCUGUAUUGACAAAUGUCAUAAUCGUGUGAGAUCAUUGUUGAGAUGUUAGCUUAGUCAAUAAGCUACUAUGUUUACUAUAAAUAGGAGAUUGCACCACCAUGUAACUAAGUCUUUUGUAAUUCAUUACAAUCAAUAUACAAAGAUAUUUUCUCUCUAUCUCUCUUUUUCUCUAUUUCUUUCUUCCUUGUCGAUGGGUUUCUUGAUUUCUACUUCCGCAACUCUGUUAUCAUGGUAUCCAAAGCCAAGUUCUCAAUUCGAUCUUCAGAAUUAAUGCUGGAAUUCAAAGCGGGGGAUGGUCUUGUGAAGGGAGUUAGAAUUUUUUUUGAGGUGGUGGAGAUUUCUGUUCGUCGGUGCCGUGUCGGUGUACUUCAAUCUCAUCUUCAUGCUGAUUUCUUUGAAGAUUUGAUGGUAUCUGUUCUUAUUCCUCUAUAAUUCAUACUUUGUUGAUUUCAAUUCAAGGCACGAAGCCAUUCUUGAGCACGAAGCUGAUUGUCUUUUCCGGUGAAAUUGAUCAUGCAAAAUUGGUGUUCUCUUGAGUGUAUAUUGGACAAUUGUUGAUUGUAUAAGCAAGAAAUGUUAGGGCACAAUGCCAUACUCUUGAAAAUUGUUUCCAAUUGUUGAUAUUUGUUGAGUUCUGAGAUAAUUGAAAAGUUAGGGCACGAAGCCAGAUUGUUGAGAAAACUUUGGGGCACGAAGCCAGGUUCAUUUUGUAAAUCUUGAAGGUUAUUGUUGAAUUGGUGUGUAUUGAUUCUGUGGUUCAUGAUGGCGUCUUCGUUUAAGAUUGAUGGUUUGUUAGGCAUGUUUACCAUUCGUUUGCAAGAAGACAAUUUUGCCAAAUGGUCAUUUCAAUUCUGUUUUGUGCUUGAAGGGUAUGAUCUGUUCGAUCAUUUUGAUGGUACUAAUGUUUGUCCGCCUAAGUAUCUGAUUUCUUUGGAUGGUGGUGUUACUAAAGAACUCACACAAGCUUAUAAGGAAUGGAUUAAAACUGAUAAAGCUUUGUUGAGUUUACUCAUCGCCAUACUUGGUGACGAGGCUAUUGAAUAUGUUGUUGGUAGUAAGACUACAUUUGAAGCCUGGACUAAUCUUACUGAUAGAUAUGCUACAGUUUCUAGGGCUCGCAUUAAUCAUCUCAAGACUGAAUUCUAUACAAUCAAGAAAGGGUCCGAUUAUAUUGAGAAAUAUUUGCUUCGGCUGAAGAAUUUGAAAGAUCAAUUGCUUUCUGCAGGGGAAGUGAUUUCUGAUAAUGAUUUGAUAGUGGUUGCUCUAGCUGGUUUACCUUCUGAGUAUAAUAUCAUUCGUACUGUAAUUGUUGCCAGAGAAACACCACUUACUCUUAAAGAAUUUCGAGCACAGUUGCUCAGUGCUGAGAGGACUGCUGAAGAUUUACCAAGUUCUCUUCAUUAUCCAAUAGCUGGAAUGUACUGUCAAGGAGAGUCUUCGAAUUCUGGUGGCUAUAAUGGUUUUCAUGAUCACAAUACAAGUAAUGGGAGGCAGUUUUAUCAUGGAGAGUCUUCGAACUCAGGUGGUCAAGUUAGUUCUCAUUCUACUGAAAACUAUGGUUUUGUGGGGCAAUACAACAUCUCUAAUCCAAGGGGUCAUUCGAGUGGGAGCUUCUCUCAAGCACAUAUUCCUCAGCAAUAUAAGUCUCAUAGACCUAAUAGUAAUAAUGGUGGUUCCAAUGGUUCUCGGUAUAAUUCCAGAUCAAGAUUCAAUGGGGGUUUUAAUACCAGACACAAUGGAAAUAAUGGUUUUUCUAGUAGCAGUGGUUCAAACAGUAAAUGGGGCUCUUCAUGGAACAAUUGGAAUGGCAAUACUGGACAGAAAUCUCAUGUGAUACCCGAAUGUCAAAUUUGCAGUAAGAGAGGGCACACUGCUCCCAACUGUUAUUAUAGAAAUGAACAGCAGCCUAUGGUUAAUCAAGGUAUUCCUGAGUGUCAAAUUUGUGGCAAGAGAGGUCAUGUUGCUCUUAAUUGUUUCCAUCGAAGCAACUAUGCAUAUCAAUGAGCAAAUCCACCUGCAACAUUGACUGCUAUGACUGCUCAAUCUUCCUCUGAUUUUAAUGCAAACCAAGCCUGGAUUAUGGAUACUGGUGCUACCCACCACAUGACUGAGGACCUUCAUGAUCUGAAUGUUGUCACACCAUUUGAAGGAGAUCAACAAAUCACAGUUGGAAGUGGAGAAUGUCUUCCAGUGAAACAUACUGGUUCCAAUUCUCUUCACACUUCUUCUAAAACUUUGAAUCUUCUUACUGUGUUACAUGUUCCUAAUCUUGCAGCUAGUUUAUUAUCCAUUUAUACCUUGUGUAAGGAUAACAAAUGCUAUGUAAUCAUGGAUGAAUUUGGUUUUUGGGUGCAGGACAAGGCAAUAAGGGCAAUUCUAAUGAGAGGAAUGAGUAGUGGCGGUCUGUAUUACAUACCAAAGAGUUUGUUCUUCAAGCACAAUCAAUUGCGACAGUCUGAAUCUUUUCCAAAAGCUUAUCUUGGGAAAUUGGUGCAAGCUUCCUUAUGGCAUCAUAGACUAGGUCAUCCUAGUAAUGCAGUGUUACAUAGUAUGCUUUCUCAUUCUCAGAUUGUGUAUAGGUCUGAUAAAAAUCAACAUGUAUACAGUGAUUGUUUGAGUGGCAAGAUGUCUAGACAAAGUUUUUCUUCUAGUUCUCAUAUCUCUGUAAGACUUUUUGAAAGGGUUUGUAGUGAUGUAUGGGGACCAUCUCCGGUUGUAUCAAUUGAAGGCUAUAAAUACUAUGUGAUUUUUGUUGAUGACUUUACUAAGUUUACUUGGUUCUUUCCUUUGACUUAUAAAUCUCAAGUUGCAUCAGUCUUUGAGCAGUUUUAUGCCUUUAUUCAGAACCAUUUUAAAACCUCAGUACAAUACUUUCAAUCUGAUGGAGGAAGUGAAUACAUGAGUUCAAAUUUUCAGAAGUUUUUGAAAGCUAGAGGUAUUAUACAUUUAGUUUCUUAUCCUUAUACCCCUCAACAAAAUAGGAUGGCUGAGAGGAAACAUAGGCACAUAAUUGAGACUGCAAUCACACUGUUGAAUUCAGCUAAGUUACCUCAUAAUUUCUGGACACAUGCAUGUAUUCAUGCUAUCUUUCUCAUAAAUCGAAUGUCAUGUUCUUCUCUGGACAUGAAUUCUCCUUAUUUUAAACUCUUUGGAAGUCAUCCUGUGUUACAUUCUGUUAAAGUGUUUGGGACUGCAGUUUAUCCUUAUCUUAGACCCUAUGUAAAGAAUAAAUUGGAACCAAGAACUGAACAGUGUGUUUUUCUGGGAUAUAUGUUGGGUUACAAAGGUGUGGUCUGCUAUCACAGGUCCAGAAAGAGGUUGUUUAUCUCUAGGCAUGUUUUUUCCUUUUCACAAACCAUGCAUAGUUCAAAGCAGACAUGAUGUUUCAUCUUCUUCUACGAUCCAUCCUAUCAUUGUUCCUUCUGUAUUUUCUGUUCAAUUUGCAAAUUCAGCUAGUAUGGUAGAAUUGGGUGAUCAUCACGAUUUUGGUCUACUUAGAUCUUCUGCAGUACAUACUUCUCAUUGUGCACAUAACAAUGGCUCCUCUUCCAGAGUAACAUCUGCUAGUUCAUUUUCUUUACAGGCUUCAUCAAAUUCCACUACUCCACUCUCUUCAUCAGCAUCUUCACAUGCCCUGUUGCCUGUCCCAAGUUUGCCUCACCCUGAGGUACAUUCCCAUCCUGUUACUUAUGCUAAUGUACCAGUUAAUGAUGACAAUAUUGUUGCUUCUCCUCUAUCCUUGUCAACUCAUCCAAUGCAAACAAGAUUGAAGACGGGAACCAUUUCUCGAAAAGAUUACACUGCAUGUUCAGCUAGUACAUCUCUUGAAUCUUCUGACAAUUCAUUUGGUUCGAGUGUUUUUCCUUGUCUUGGUUUCACUGAUGUCUUUGAUAUUAAGGAACCUACAGAACCAUCAUCAUAUAAACAGGCUGUUACUUGUGAACAAUGGAGAGAAGCUAUGAAAGAGGAAUUCAAUGCUCUUCAUAAACAAGGAACAUGGGAACUUGUUCCAAUGCCUACUAACAAGAAUGUCAUUGGCAGUAAAUGGGUAUAUAAGAUCAAACGAGAUCAGAAUGGCAAGAUAUCAAGGUAUAAGGCGAGAUUAGUAGCUCAAGGUUUCAGUCAAGAACAUAGUUUGGAUUAUGAAGAAACUUUUAGUCUAGUGGUCAGACACAGUACUGUUCGGAUUGUUCUUGCUUUAGCUGCUACAAAUAAAUGGCCUUUAAGGCAAUUUGAUGUUAAAAAUGCAUUUCUCCAUGAAGAUUUGCAGGAAGAGGUUUUCAUGAAGCAUCCUCAAGGUUUUACAGAUUCAUCUCAUCCUGAUUAUGUCUGUAAAUUGAUUAAGUCCCUUUAUGGCCUUAAACAGGCACCUCGGGCAUGGAAUUCUAAAUUUACAACAUACUUGCCUUUUCUUGGUUUUGUGGUUUCCGAAUCAGAUACAAGUUUAUUUGUCAAGACCCAAGGUGAUGCAGUUGUUAUUCUUCUUCUCUAUGUUGAUGAUAUAAUCAUCAUUGGAUCUGAUUCAGUAUUGGUUCAACAAGUUAUUUCCAAUCUUAGAGAGGUAUUUGAUAUGAAGGAUAUGGGGGCUCUCACAUUUUUUCUUGGAUUACAUAUUACUUACCAAGUGAAUGGCGAUUUGUUUCUUUCUCAAUCGAAAUAUGCCAAAGACUUGAUAAAAAAGGCGGGUAUGACUACUUGUAAGCUUUCUCCUACUCCUUGUAAACCUCAUACACAACUAUUGCGAAAUGAAGGAACUCCACUCAUUGAUCCUACUAUUUUUCGAAGUUUAGUGGGUGCACUGCAGUAUCUGACUUUUACCAGGCCUGAUAUUGCGUUUGCUGUCAAUUAUGCAUGUCAAUUCAUGUCCAAUCCUACUGAUGUACAUUUUGAGUUAGUCAAACGCAUUCUGAGGUAUUUACAAGGGACUGUUGAGUGUGGUGUUACUUAUUCAUCUGCUGAUACUAUGGAUCUCACUGCAUUUAGUGAUGCUGAUUGGGCAUCGGAUAUCAAUACCAGAAGGCCCACAACAGGAUAUAUGGUGUUCUUGGGACAAAAUCCAGUGUCUUGGCAGUCUAGAAAACAAGGUAGUGUUUCAAGAAGUUCGACAGAGGCCGAAUAUAAAGCUCUAGCCAAUGCUACUGCAGAAAUAGCUUGGAUUCGAUUGAUUCUUAAAGAUUUGAAAGUGUUUCUGCCUUCUCCCCCACUUUUGCAUUGUGAUAAUGUUUCCACUAUUGCUCUGUGCUCUAAUCCUGUUUUUCAUACCAAAAUUAAACAUCUCGAUACGGACUUUCAUUUUGUUCUUGAACGGGUUCAAAAAGGAGAUUUACAAGUGGAGUACAUUUCUUCUACAGAUCAGGUUGCUGAUAUUCUUACAAAAUGACUUCAUGGACCUGUUUUCUUACAUCAUUGUCUUAAUCUCAAACUGGGUUCCCCAGUUGCGAUUGAGGAUGGGGUAUUGAAUAUGAUAAUAGACAUAUGGCAUUAUCCUGUAUUGACAAAUGUCAUAAUCGUGUGAGAUCAUUGUUGAGAUGUUAGCUUAGUCAAUAAGCUACUAUGUUUACUAUAAAUAGGAGAUUGCACCACCAUGUAACUAAGUCUUCUGUAUUCAUUACAAUCAAUAUACAAAAAUAUUUUCUCUCUAUCUCUCUUUUUCUCUAUUUCUUUCUUCUUCCUUGUCGAUGGGUUUCUUGAUUUCUACUUCCGCAACUCUGUUAUCACACAUUAUCCAGAAGUUCAUUCUCAUUUACCUCAAGAUCAUCGACAAGAUCGAUCUUCCAAUUUCUGAGACUGAGAUUUCUACCUUUUUUCCCCCUAGUUAUAUAACUUCCACUACCACUAGUUUCCCAAUUUCAUCUCCCCUACCAUCCAUGGCGUCUGCAAGCUCUCACAAACACCCAUCUCCUCUGUCAUCCACUACUUUCCCCAUCACUUUCCCACCUUCCUCUUGGAGUUGUAGAAGGAGCUUGCUAUGAAGAUCUGUUGUGUGAAAUUGUGCAUCUUGGAUUGAAAACUUUUUUAACACUGGGUUUUGGAUUUGUUUCCUGGUCUGCAAUGCGACGACGAGUUGAAAAAUACUCUGAUCAGAUUUCGAUUUCGAAAAUUAAAAUCUGGUAAAACAAGAAUAUCAACGAUGAAGAUUCGAUCUCAACCCAAUGAGAAGGAGAAACGGAGGAGCGUAUUUUUGAGAUUGUGAAAGUUUCAUUAAAAUCUACUGUUCACCCGCCUUCUUGAAAAAAUAAAAGCUGGUUUUGAGAAGCAGCAAAAAUGCAACUUCUGAUUUUUGCCACUUUUCAGCUUAUAAUGACCUGUGAUUUUUAAAAUAAGCAGAGUUACCAAACACAAAUUGUACUCCAAUUUUUUUUCAUCCCAGCUUUUAAAAUAAUUUAAGCAGUACCAAACCUUACCUUAUUCUAAUUGCAACAAAGAAAGCUGAAACUGGAAUAAUUCGUGAUUUGUUCAAACCAAGAAUACGAAAUCAACAACCUACUAGAAAAUAUGCUCGUAGAGAUUUACGGGUUGUUUCAGCAAGUAAUUUUGCUAAAAGCGCUUUUAUUAAAACAACGUUGAUAAAUCACUUUUAUAAUGAUAUAAGCAUGCCAAAAGAUUAAACUAGUUUACAACAUCAAUAUUAUAAUGAUAGUACUCUCAGUUCAUUCUUGCUCAUAGAAUUAAAGAGAGAAACCGAACUAAACAACAAUGCGGACUAGCUUGGUCAACUCUCAGGCCUUUAUUCUUGAAGAUAGCAAAAUUACUCAAAGUUCCAUAUCAUAUGUAUGCAUAAAUCUUGUGCUUGGCACUUAUUCCUUGAGAAGAUGUGCAUCAAUAUCUUUAAUGACAUUGACCAUAAAGCUGAGGUACUUCUGUGGAGGCGGAUCGUUCUCGUUGAGUUUUUCAUAUUCUAAAGUAAUUUUCACAAAACCUCCUUCACUCUUUGGAGUGACCUGGAAAAUGAUCUUGUAGCUUUUGUAAUUGUCCAGCACAUGUGAUCCUUCCAGAGCUGUAAGACUCACCCACUUGUUUACUUCAUCUAUUUCCACCUUUUCCUUGAAUGUCUCGACAUUUCCAUCUACACGUCACAUGGAAAAUUACAAUGAUACAUCUAUUCAUGGAGAGAUUUUUCAAUGCUCAGAACACUAGGUGGUACGACACAUUAUUAUACAAACGAAUGAAAAUUAUUUUCAAGUGUCUUUUCACUUAUAUAAUGAAAUAUAAUUUAUGUAUCCAUGUUCCGAGCACACUAAAAAUUCUCUCAUGUCCAUGAUCCGAUUCUUUAUAUAUUCAUCGUCAGGUAAUGCAAACCUAAUGGCGCAUGGAUGGCCUGGUCAAUAUAUUUCAGUUUUAAUUCUAGAAGAAUCUUAUACGUACAUAUACAUAUCACGUUAGCAUGUUUAUUUCAUAGCAGGUUAGUUUGUGUUAUUAAAAAAAAAAAAAAAUAAUAAUAAUAGUAAUAAUGUUACAGUAUUAACUAUAAACGUAACAUUAUUAUUAUACAACUUUUUUUAACAAACAAUAUUAUCUACAUUAAGGGAAAGAGGUGAGCUUAGCCUCACAAUGUUUGAACGAUGGAAAUAAAUUUGGACUUUUGACAAAAUUUAGAAUUUAUAAAUUAACAUGCACCAAUUCUCUUGUCUAGAUUCAUAAACAUAGAAAUUUAGAAUUUCCGCGUGAAAAAAGGGAGAAUUUGAGACCUCCAAUUCCCAAGUUUAAAUUUCAUGUAAAUAAGUCACUCAGUAUUACAGUCUUAUAGUAUUUCUCUUCACUUGAAAGUGAGAGGUUAUAGGUUCGAAUCUUGUUAAUGACGAAUUUGAUACCAAAUUAGGCUACCCAUUGUGUGGCUUUGCCGAACUCCCCCUCCCCUUAGUGUAAAAAUAUCGAUGUACUAAAAAAAAUCAUGUAAAUAGGUGUUAUUCCAAAUUUUUAUGAGUGAGAGUUUAAAGAUAACAAAUUCUAUAUUGAAUUUAUAUUAUUCUUUUAAGUUAGUCAAACAAGAAAAUUUACAAAUUCUAGAAAUAAAAUUUCAUAGUAAUUUUAAAUUUUCUCAUUCAAACAUAAUGUUAGAGUCAUGAUGUAACACCCGUCGCUUUUUAUUUAACAAAAUUAAUUAUUAGUUUAACUAGGUUAGGAGGAGAGAGGAGGGUGAUUAAUUUCAUAUUACCUAGGGUGUAUUUCCAGAGCUUGACAGAGCCAGAAGUUUCCCAGUCACCUUCAUGUACUGCAACAUCGUGUAUUUUAUCAGAGGCUGCUUUGGGGACGUCGUGGUGCUGGUUGCUGAUGACUUUGUACAACUUAUCAGCGUUGGCUUUGAUCUCUACCUCAACCUCCACAGUCAGCUUGCAAGCACCAGCUCUGUUGAAUAUAUCAGUCCACCUCAUCAUUCCAGCUCAGCAAUAGUUAGUUAGGCUGUUAUCAAAUUAGUUAGUUAAAUAGCUUAGGCUGUAAACUAGUCAUGAUGGCUAUAUAAACUGUAUUCUCAUAGUUGUAAAGAUUAAUUCAGUAUCAAUGUAACCAAUUACUGUCUCUCUCUCUUAUUCCCUUUUCUCUCUUCUUCUUCGGUACAUGCUCUUUCUGCAACUCUUCAUUUCUGUUAACAUGGUAUCAUCGCCAUGGAUGAUCUUUUGACUUCCGUUGUAGUACCUCUGAUGGGUAGCUGAUCUCUGUGUAAGGUUGAUGACGUUUUGCUGUUCUUGGGAGGCUUCGAUACUUGUCUAUGGAGUUUUCGUUGGUGAUGAAGAUCUGUGCGCUCCAGGUGUUUGAUAAUUUGUGUCAGCCAAUUGUCGGAGUUUGCGAGGAUUCUGGUAUAGGUGUGUCAUCGCCGGAGGUCGGUUCUUGGUGAUUUGUUGCUCUUCCGCUGUGGGUGAACAAGCUUGGAUGUUCGAGUGCGUUUUCUGGGUUUCAAGAUUCAAGUUCUCAGGUUUUGUUUCUGAUUACUAGUUUUCUUUCCAGCAUAUCAACUAUUGUGACUCAGUGAGAAUUUUGUUGGGAAUUUCGGAAGUGUCAAGGCCAAUAGCCGUAUACUUCAGAUUUGUGAAGAGUUCAAGGUCGAAUGUCAUAUUUGAGAAUCUUUAAGGCAAAUUGCCAUUUCUCAGUUGCUAUAAAAUUGUUGAUUGUAUUUCCCUAAGGCCGAUUGCCGGGAUUUUAUGUUGUCUAAAAGAUUGUCUGUUAAUUGGGUUCUCUGUGAUUGUAUGCUGUACUCCCUUAAGGCCGAUUGCCGGAGUAUAAAGCUGUCUGAAAGUUGUUUUCUUGAUGCAAAGUGUUUGUUGGGAUAGAGAGGCCGAUAGCCAUUUCCCUUUUAUGUUUCACUUCAGAAAGGCCGAUAGCCAGAAGUGUGUGUAGAACAUUAACUGAUUUAGAAGAAUAUGAAGGCCGAUUGCCAUUUCUUCUAAGAGAAAGAUUGUUUAGUAGGAUUUGAAGGUCGAUUGCCAUUGUUGAAAGAUUGCUGAAAGAUUGAAUCUUUGAUUCAUUAUUGGGUAUUGUUUGAUUGUUUGUUGGGUAUUGUACACUCAAGAAGGCCGAUUGCCAAGAGUGUCUUAGUUCAAGAUUCUGCAAAGUUGUUCAUAUUCUAUCUGCAAAAGUGAUGUGUGAUGAUAAUGGGAUGAGCAACCUGUUUUAGUUUUGGCAAGUUUGAAAGGAUGAUAACUAUAUGUGGUUGUACCUUAUCGCAAAAGAAAAUAGUAGCUACAGAGGUGUAGAAAUCAGUUUGAGGGGCUGAAAUUCUUUGGGCAGUUGAUGGAUGAGUAUGAAAUUGCAUCGUUCUUAAGUAAUUUUCAAUGCUUGCAGCCAUGGAGGAUUAAUUGGUGAGGAGCAGCAGAGCUAGGAGUAUAUGGACAAGAAGGACUUCCUAAGUUCUACAUUUCUCAAAGCACUCAUUCAAUCUCCAACUAGGAAACUCAGUUGAGAUUGAGGGGGGAUGUUGAAUAUAUCAGUCCACCUCAUCAUUCCAGCUCAGCAAUAGUUAGUUAGGCUGUUAUCAAAUUAGUUAGUUAAAUAGCUUAGGCUGUAAACUAGUCAUGAUGGCUAUAUAAACUGUAUUCUCAUAGUUGUAAAGAUUAAUUCAGUAUCAAUGUAACCAAUUACUGUCUCUCUCUCUUAUUCCCUUUUCUCUCUUCUUCUUCGGUACAUGCUCUUUCUGCAACUCUUCAUUUCUGUUAACAAGCUCCACUCACUGCCAUUUUCUUUUAUUUGUUAUUAGUAAUAUGUGAUUAGUCUGGGGAAAUUGUAGGAGACGUAUACUAACCUACAGGUUUCAACUUCUUAUAUAGAGUCGCAAAGUUGUAAAUUAACAUGUUAUAAACUGAUAGUUAUGGAGGCAGCGUGUGGAUAUGAUCCGAUCACUUAAUUAAAUAGUUAUAUAAUAAUAUUGUGUCUGUGGAUCUUCCACGCAGAGUUUUAUUAUUACACCUACCAAACUUAAGAGCACCCGCAAACUUGAUGAGACAUAUAUCAACACGUGAGAACAAUGAUUGAUCAACAUUACCUCCAUAGUAUUAUUAGAGUGAAUGAUUGUAUGAUAUUAAUUAAGCAUUAAGAUCUUGGGAACUUUAAUGAAAAAUUUCUGGUAUUAUUCAUUUUAAUAAAAAAUUAUAUUUUUACAUUAAAAAGUCAAUCUUAAUACUAUUCACUUUAUUCUUUAUUUUGUCCUUAUUGUUAAAACUCAAAAUUUUCAAGCCAUUUUCAUUAAUUUUCUUUAAGAUCUUUUGAUUUGGCAUGCGGAAGUGUGUGUUUGUAUAUUAUAUAGGGAUAAUACUAAGUUAGGUUCAUAUUAUCUUAACUAGUGAUAAAUUAAGGGUUCUUUCGAGUUAUUCGAAACAGUGGUUUAUAUUAUCUUGACAUACGUGCAACCAAACACAAAAAAGAGAGGCUGUAUUGGCUUCCAAAAUAAAACUAGAUGCAAACAAUAAUGUGGAGUUCCGGUUACUCUUUUGGAAUCAACCAAAGCUGAAUCAUUGAUGCCUACUUUCAGAAAGUUUUCCUUUUCUGCAUGCAGAUCUUUUCAAUGGAUGUAGCUCGUUUUGGGAGGUAACCACUUACUUCUUCGAGUUCAUUAAUUUUAGUCAAUCUAAAGUAAUUUAAUUAAGUUUAUUAACCUUACAAUUUUGAGCGUUAAUACUCAAUUUUGGAGGAAUUGCAUCACGUUUACGUAAAGGCAAUCGAAAUAAUAGAGUGGAAUUAAAUUUCAAUUACGGAAUACUCCAGUAUUUACUAAAUAUUGGAGAAUAAAAAAUUUGAUAGCACCCACUCAAUUUUUUUAAUCCAAUACUAAUUCAUACUCAAAUUUUGGAAUAAAAAAUCUAAUACUAAUUCGUACUCAUCAAAUGAAAGUAAAAUCUAAUUCUUCAUUUUUUAAGUACUUAAUUAUUGUAAUGUGAGUAAACGCAUGAAAAUCAUGAUUUAGAAUAUUUUCUAAUGCAGACUCUAAGUCUGAAAUUGAAAUAUAAAGAUAGCCCUUGAAGGGUCGAUUCUGGUUAAUCUAGGCAUGAGAAUACGAAAAAAUACACACAAAGUUAUUAAGAUAGCUUUCCUUUUUUAUAUUUUAGCGAUAGUCUAGUCUAAUCCAACAUUAGACCACAUUCAGUAAUUCAAACUAAGAGAAGGGGGAUUCAAACUUGGCUACACUCGGAUUCUCAUAUUAGGAUUGAUUCUGAAGUAAAAGAAUAUAACCAAGUUGAUCAAGAAAUUUCAAAAUUUCUAAUGGAAACUUAUUAGAAUUUUUUUGUGAAUGUGUUGAAGUUGGGAUUUUUUUGUUUUCGUAUUGAAGUUGGGAUUGAAACAGAAGAUAAAGCAUAAUAUAAAGUUUCAUUACAAUUAACAACAUGUUCUAUUAAAUGAAAGUGACUAAAUAUUGAAAAACAUGCUACGCCGCGUUGAUCAACUCCGGCAACGAGCAUUAGCACUGCAUCCACGGUUGUAGGGGUUGCUCUGAUUCUGAGCACCCGGCUUGCAGUUGUUGGAGGAAGCACCUCUCUGAGAGCAAGGAACAGUGUUUCUCUGCAGCGCUUCAUAGCUUAUGUUUCGUGAGGUGGCCAAGAUGCGCCUGCUAAUCUCCGAGUCCAUGCCAAACUCAUCAUCACGAUCAUCCAUGCACUCUGCUACAGAACCCUCGCAGCGAGGUCUCACUGGAGCCCAGCUCACCCCAUGAUCGCCGCCUGCAUCAACGGAGAUGACCAGAGCGGCCGCGAAAAUCAACGAAAAGAUAAUCGCAGAGGAAUUAGCCAUAGGUUUUGGUACGGUCUGUGUUUUUAGCUGCCAACUUGUAUUUUGUUGUACGCCUGUUUAAUUACAGAGGUAGAGAGAGGGGGCGGCAAGAAAGAGAAGAGAUAAUCGGUGAAAUUUUGAUGUGUAUAUUCUUUCACCCUAUUGUGCUAAUUAUAGUAGUAAAAAGGGAAAAUUUUUGUCUUUCAAGUAAUUCAUAGGAGUUAGGGAAAAUCCUUGUCUCUCAAGUAAUCCAUCUAAAAUAGGACAUUAUGUAAAAGAUAUUAUACAAUUCCAUAAGGAUUUACACAAUCAUAUUCCUAAUUAAAUUAAGACUGUGACAUAUUUAAAUUUGGUUAAAUAAAAAUUGGAUGUUGAUUUCUUUAAGGAGGUAAUUACUUAAUUGACAUGCUUUAAUUCAACCUUAUUCCAAUUGCAACAAAGACAGCUGAAAUUGAAAUAAUUCGUGAUUUAUUCAAAACCUAACAAGAAAACAAAAUCAACAACUACUACAAAAUAUGCUCGUAGAGAUUUCCGGGAUGUUUCUGCUCUUAAGUGUUUUUGCUAAAAGCUCUUUUAUCAGUACAAGGUUGAGACUUUAGUUAAAAAACUAAGUUGUUCUCGAAAAAAUAUAAGCAUGCCAAUAGAUUGAACUUGUUUACAACAUCAGCAUUAUAAUAAUAUCACACUCAAUUCAUUCUUGCUCAUAGAAUUAAAGACAAACCAAAUCAGAAACCGAAAUAAGCAACAGUGCUAACUAGCUUGCUCAGCUCUCAGGUCUUUAUUCUUGAAGAUAGUAAUAUUACUCAAUGUUCCAUAUCGUAUGUAUGCAUAAAUCUUGUGCUUGGCGCUUAUUCCUUGAUAAGAUGUGCAUCAACAUCUUUAAUGACAUUGACCAGAAAGCUGAGGUACUUCUGUGGAGGCGGAUCGUUCUCGUUGAGUUUUUUAUAUUCUAAAGUAAUUUUCACAGAACCUCCUUCACUAUUUGGAGUGACCUGGAAAAUGAUCUUGUAGCUUUUGUAAUUGUCCAGCACAUGUGAUCCUUCCAACCCUGUAAGACUCACCCGCUUGUUUGCUUCAUCUAUUUCCACCUUUUCCUUGUAAGUCUCGACAUUUCCAUCUACACGUCACAUGGAAGAGUAUAAUUAUACAGCUAUCCAUGGUCCGAUCCUUUAAAUAUUCAUCGUGUGGUAAUGUAAACCCUAUGCAUGGAGGUCUUGUCAUUUUUAAUUCUAAAAGUACAUAUAUAUGAGGUAACGCAAACCCCUAGCUUGCUAGGUUUCAAGUUAGCAUGCCUAAUUAUUUUGCAGCAGGUUAGUCUGUGGUAUUAAAAAAAAAAUGUUAGUCAUAAGUAUAACCUUAACAAUGUUUGGUUGUAAUUUGCUUGCUCCUUCAUGCAAUCUCACAGUCUCACUACCACCUCCACAAGUUUGCGGAGUAAGCAUCUUCAUUCGCCCCAAAAGGGCUUCGUUUCACUAUCUUUUACACAGCGGAGGCUGUAUAAAGCUACGACAGAACAAAAUUCGGCACCCGGGAGAGGGACGAUCUCCAGAGAUUCUUUAACAUUUUUUGUAUUUCUUUUUUUGUUGAAUCAUUUCUUGUAAUUUAAACAUUUAGCGUCAUCUUGUAAUUUAAAUAUUACCUAUGGUGUAUUUCCAGAGUUUGACAGAGCCAGAAGUUUCCCAGUCACCUUCAUGUACCGCAACAUCGUGUAUUUUAUCAGAGGCUGCUUUGGGGAAGUCAUAGUGCUGGUUGCUGAUGAAUUUGUACAGCUUAUCAGCGUUGGCUUUGAUCUCUACCUCAGCCUCCAUAGUCUCCAGCUUGCAAGUACCAGCUCCACUCACAGCCAUUUUAUUUUAUUUGUUCUUUAUAAUAUGUGAAUAACGAUAGUGUAAGUCUGGGGAAUUGUAGGAGACGUAUACAAACCUAUAGGUUUCCACUUCUUAUAUAUAAAGCCAUGUUAUAGUUACGGAGGCAGUAUGUGGAUAUUAUCCGAUCACUUAAACAGUUAAAUGAUAACAAUGUGAGAGUGGAUCUUCCACGUAAAAUUUUAUCACCACUACACACCUACCAGAAUAAAACUUUUUUCUUUUUUUUUUUAAUUAAAAGAAGAAAUGUCAAUUUCAUUCCGCAUUAUUAUCAUGGAACAAGACAUUAUUUUGAAUACAUUGAAGAAGAAAAAAAAAUAUAUAUAAUAAGUUAGAGGGGACAUGAAGCCUAGCCCUAACAAGAAGUAGAAAACUAUUUGAAACAACAAUCAAUUAAGACAACUCCUAAGAGAAACAAGAAUUUGGAAACACCGAAAGAUUAUGAGCAAAAGUCAUAACUGCACAUGACGGAUAAGAAUCACACAAAUAAUGAAAACUAACAUGAUCAACAUAAUAGUUUGCUAAACAAUUUGUUACAUGAUUUCCUUCCCGAUUAACGUGAGAAAACUGAACAUGCAUGGAAGAGAGAAUGGUAUAGUAAUUUGUCAAAUCAACCGAUAAACUAUGGUGCAUUGCCAAACAAGAAUUACACUCAUUUCAAAGAGAAUGCUGCUAACCCCUUUCGAAAGCAAUAUAAAUAACAUGAAUAAUAGCUUUAAGUUUCACUUCCAAAGCAGUAACAAUGCCAAAAAAAUCUUGUAUUAAAGCAUCAAAGAGACCCAAGUGAUCACGAAAAAUACCACAAAAACCAGCAAACUUGAUGAGACAUUUCAACACGUAUAUAUAUAAGAGGAUCAAUGAUUGAUCAACUUUACCUCCAUAGCAUUAUUGGAGUGAAUGAUUGUACGAUAUUGAGGCGUUUGUUUGGAUUUGGCACGAGGAAAUGUGUGUAUAUAUUGUAUAUAUAGUGAUAAAACUAAUUUAGGUUUAUAUUACCUUAACUAGUGAUAAAAUUAAGGGUUCUUUAGAGCUAAUAGAAAUCAAUGGUUUAUAUUAUGUUGACAUAACCUAGAGAGAGAAAAAAAAGAGGUUGUAUUGUCAUCAAAAUAAAAUUAUGACACAAACAAAUAAUGUGGAGUUCAUGUUACUUAUUUGGAAUCAAUCAAAGCUGAAUCAUUGAUGCCUAAUUUCAGAAAAGUUUUUCUUUUCUGGAUGCAGCAUCUUUUCACAGGAUUUUUUUUUCGGUUGUUGUAUUGUGAAGGAACUUCUUGGAUAGUUUUUUUUCCCUUUUACACUAGCUUAGUGUCUUCCUGCCAAAAUAAUGACACAGAAAUUUUCAUCAAAAGGGUUGGCGAUGUCGGGCAGCAAAUGUAGUUUCCCGUGAAAUUGCAAAACUUGCUCACAAUCUGAUGAUUUUGUCUCUUGGGUUGGCUCUCCCUUCUCCUAACUGCUGAAGACUGAUGAAGCAGAAAUUUAAUCAUCAAUGAAUUUCCUUGACUAAUCCAUUAUCUUUCCGUUGCCCGUUCUCUUUGAUUUGUUCAUAAUCCGAUUAUUGUUCAUUCCAAUUCCAAGCGCGUAAACGUGCCCUCAUAGUUAUGGACUUGUUCGCAUCGUUUAAUUUUCCUUGAAUACCUGACUUUGUCGCCUAUGGUUUCACAAGAAAAUAAUCUCUUUGUUAAACCAGAAAAUUUAACGGUUCAUUAAUUAGCAACUAUUUCAUUUUUUAACAAUAUUUGGCUACUCAAAGGAUGAGUAAGAGUUCCUACUCAAACCUAUUUGUUGCCGAUCCAUAGAACUUCAUGUUUAUAAUAGAGCAGUUCAUAUUAGAAAUCACUUUAUAAAAAUUGUCUCUACAAAAAAUCAAUUAGACUAAGGUCGUUUAGUAGUCGAACUGUGAAAAAACAAAGGAAAGAAAUUGGUGAAAACAUUACAAACCAUUUAUGUAUUUACUAGAAUAAAUUGACUAAAUGACCUUAAUUUUAAUUCAAUUUUUGCAGAAAUGAUCUCCACAGUGUGAUUCAUAAUAUGAACAGUUCUGUUCAUAAGCACAAACUUCAGUGAUUCGAACAUGAAAAAUUUUGAGUGGGAGUUCUUACUCAUCUUUGAGUAGCCAAGCAUUGUUCUUCAUUUUUUUUUAUGUCAGUAAUAGUCUGACAAAGAACAAUAAUAAGUAAACUGUGAAAAAAAAAAUAUUUUACAAAUGGAAAAACAAACAAAAUGAAAAAGAAAAUAAAUUAAUAUUUUAAGUUGUUUUCACUUUGAAAAUUUUGUUUUAUUCAUUCCCUCUUUAUCUAAUUCUUAGCCUUCAUGUAUUGAAUUAUGCAUUGUAUUGUAGAAUCCAAAAAAAAAAAAAAAAAAAAACUUUUUUGGAAUCCAUAUGUGUAUAAGCAUGAAAUUAUAGCCCACCCAUAUGAAAAUUUUGACUCCGCGGUUGCAUGUAAGGAUAAACAUGCCAAUAGAUUAAACUUAUUCACACUAUAACAUAAAAAUGCUAUUACACUCAAUUAUAGAAGUUGCUCAAAAGACUAAAGACAGUCCAAGUCGGAACUAAACAACAAGGCUAUAGCUUGCUCUUCUUCCAGCCUUUAUUCUUGAAGAUAUAAGAUUAUCUCCCCUCUUAAUCUCUCUUUCCAUUCCUCCUCUCCUAUUUAAAUGUUUACCGCGUCAACAUCUUGUUUUAAAUUUAUUAUAUAGAGAAAAAGACAAAAAGAAAAGUGUAAGAUGAGGAGGGAGAAUGAAAUGGUAUUGGAAGGUAGAGAAUCCUACUCCAAGUGUUCGUUAGGGGAGAGGGGGACCCUGAGAGCAGAAGACUCUUCAUCUUCAGGUUUGAGAGUAAACGCUUUACUGUUGAAGAUAUAUAGUGAUUGACACAUCAUCAUAAGUGCUACAUCAGCUAUUGGAGUUAGUUAGUUUUUUAAGAAUCAGUUACACAAGUGGCUUAGCUGAUAAGCUACAUGUGCAGACUAUAUAAAGGAAUCAGGGGUCUUUUGUAUCUCUCUUCAUCCUUAUGAAAUAACAAAACUUUUACUCAUUUCUUUCUCUAGUUCUCUCUCUAUUCCUUUUGAUCUUUCUCUCUCUAUUCCUUUGAUAUUGCUUGCAUACAUUCAUCUGUUAGUUGUUAGAUGAAUGUUAUCAUGGUAUCUUCGCCGAGGGUUCGAUCUCGUGGUGUGUAUUUCCGCUGUGUUGUGCCAAAAGAUUGUCUUGAUUGCUGUGCUGUGCUUUAGUGGGUUAAUGAGCUUUUGGCGUUUGGGAAGUCAGACUUCGAGUUUAUCAGGUGUUAUUUUUCUUUUUGCACUCCAAGUGUGUGUGUAAUUGUCGCAAUGAUGAAUCUUUUGUGAAAGACUAAAAGUUGAAGGCCGAUAGCCAUUUCUUGAUGUUUGGAAUAUGAUAUUGAAUGUCAAUAGCCAUUUCUUGAUGUUUGGAGUAUGAUAUUGAAGGCCGAUAGCCAUUUUUCUGAUUGAAUAAUUGUUGAAGCGUUUUCUGUCAAAGCAUAAAGGCCGAUAGCCAUUGCUUUUGUUUGAGUGUUUGUUGGGUUUUUUCACAAGAACAAGGCCGAUAGCCAGUAAUGUGUGUUCUUGGAGUUAUUAUACUUCUUGAAGAUUGUUUGAGUACUUGAUUUCUUGAUUCAGUUUCUAUCAACAAUAUGGCGUUUAGUUCUAUCAAAAUUGAAAGUCUUUUGGGCAUGAUCACUGUUAAGUUGAAAGAAGAUAAUUUUGUCAAAUGGGAUUAUCAGUUUCAAUAGGUGCUUAAGGGGUAUGAUUACUUUGAUUUCUUUAGUGGGGAGUCUCAGUGUCCUCCAAAGUUUGUAAUUAAUACUGAGACUGGGGUCACUAAAGAAAUUACUACUGCAUAUAAAGACUGGGUUAAAACAGAUGUCUCUCUAUUGAGUUUGUUGAUUGCUACACUUUCGGAUGAAGCUAUAGACUAUGUCAUUGGGUGUAAAACUUCUCAAGAAGCUUGGAAAUCUUUUCAGGAACGAUAUGCAUCUGUAUCUGUUGUCCGGGUUAAUCAACUCAAGACUGAGUUUCAUACUGUACAUAAAGGUGCAGAUUAUGUUGACAAGUAUUUGCUUCGAUUGAAGGUUAUCAAGGAUCAACUGGUUGCUGCAAGGGAGAGAAUCACUGAGAAUGAUUUGGUCAUUGCUGCUUUGUCUGGUUUACCUCCAGAGUUUGAAAUGAUCAGGACAGUAAUCUUAGCAAGAGACACUCUGAUUUCAAUGAAAGAUUUUCGAGCUCAACUAAUUGGGGCUGAAGGCAGUAUUGAGUCUCGACUGACAACUUUAUCAAGUUCUAUGGCUGCCAUGUAUGUUCAGGGCAAUGGCUCGAAUACACAGGGAUCUCAGGGAAAUACUCCAAGUUAUGAACAAUGGGAGAGUUCAAAUGCACAAAGGUCUCAAGGGAGGAAUAAUUACAAUAGUGGUAAUAACAACAGGAGGUAUAAUGGGAAUAAUUUCAACAAUCGAAAAUUCUCUGGUGGUUAUAAUGGUGGGAAUAAUAAUUACAGGCCAUAUUCUACUUUUGGGAAUAAUGGGAAAGGUGUUCAAAAUGGAGGUUCUCAAAGUUAUUUUUCUGGUAAUGGAAGCAAACAAGGAAACACUUGGAAUGGUGAUACAAAUUACAGAAAUGCUAUAUCUCCUGAAUGUCAAAUCUGCUAUAGAAGAGGUCAUACAGCACCAAAUUGUUACUUUGGAGCUGAUAACAAUCAAUCAUCUGGAGGGAUCUUGGUAUGUCAGAUAUGUGGGAAAAUAGGUCAUCGGGAUUUGGAAUGCUUUCAUAGAAAUAACUUCUCAUAUCAAGGCAGUGCACCACCCACAUCUCUUGUUAGGAUGGCUGCUCAAGGCUCAAAUGUUGCAACUGAAGACUCAAAUAUCCAUGGUUUUUCAGCUGCUGAUACAUAGGUAGUUGACACAAGUGCAACUCAACCACAUGACAUCACAUGUCGAAGUUUUAAAUCAUAUCACUCCUUAUAAUGGUGAUGCCACGAUCACUGUUGGUAAUGGAGAAGGUUUGGUGGUUAAAAAUAUUGGUUCUUCUGUUCUUAACACUCAACAAAAGUCACUCAUUUUGCAAAAUGUGCUACAUGUUCCACACAUUACAAUGAAUUUGUUGUCUGUUAAGAAAUUAUGCAGAGAUAAUAAUUGCUGGUUUGUAUGUGAUGAUCUGAUCUUCUUGAUACAGGACAAAGCAACUCGAAGGAUUGUGUACCAAGGCCAGAGUGAUGAUGGGGAGCUCUUCAAGAUACCAAUAACAGUGCUGUCGAGAUCCAGAGUACCAAGUAUUGAAAGAUGUGCUGCUUUUGUUAGAAAGAAGCUAAAGACUGCAGUUUGGCAUAAAAGGUUGGGUCAUCCAUUUGAAGAAGUGCUUACUGCAAUGUUGAAUAAGUCUAAAGUAUUAGCUAGUAUAGAUUUGUCUCCAUCUAUAUGUACUGCUUGUAUUCAAGGCAAAAUGACUAAGUUGCCUUUCUCUGUAAGUCCCGAUAGGUCAAAAGUUGUAUUUGAAAGGAUACAUUCAAAUAUAUGGGGUCAUUCACCGCAUAGGUCAAUAGAGGGUUAUAGGUAUUACAUAAGCUUUGUAGAUGACUGCUCUCAAUUUGUAUGGAUUUUUCAGAUGGUUAAUAAAUCCGAUGCUUUUCCAAUCUUUACCAAGUUUCUUACAUUUCUUGAGAAUCAGUUUAAUGCUUUUGUUAAAGUUCUUCAAUCAGAUGGUGGAGGUGAGUAUAUGAGUAAUGUGUUUAGACAGUUGUUGGAGAUAAAAGGAAUUAUACACCAAGUUUCAUGUCAUCAUACACCACAACAAAAUGGUCUUGCUGAACGAAAACAUAGACAUUUGGUUGAGAUUGCUAUUAGUUUGCUAUCAGAUGCUCAAUUACCUUCAGCAUUCUGGUAUCAUGCUUGUUUUCAUGCUGCAUUCUUAAUCAAUAGGAUGCCAUCUAGAACUUUGAAGAUGUAGUCUCCCUAUCAAGUUGUGUUUGGUUGUGUUCCUGAAGUGCAGCAUCUUAAAGUCUUUGGUACUGCAGUUUAUCCUCUAUUGAGACCAUUUAAUAAAAAUAAAUUGGAGCCAUGGUUAGCUCAAUGUGUAUUUCUUGGUUUUGCUCAUGGAUAUAAAGGAGUUAUUUGUAAUGAUAUCAAGACUAGAAAGUUCAUUCUGUCAAGGCAUGUAGUACAUGAUGAAGAUGUAUAUUCGUUUAAACAAGUUUUGCCAUCUAAGGAUUCUACACCUACAAAUAGGUGUUCUCAGACACUUGUUUUGAUUCAGUUACAAGUUCCAAGUGAAAAAGUCCUGCCUCAUACACACAUACAACAUGAUUCACAAGCAGCUAGUUCUAUACAUAUAUCAGCAAGUGAUACUGGUUCACAUCACAGUAUUCCUGUAAAUGGUGACAGUAUAAAUAUGGUUGGUGAAUUGAAUGUUUCUAGUUCGGACAAUACACAGGUGAUUCAACCUAGUGAUCAGGAUACAAAUUCGACUGAUACCACUACUCUACAUGCAUCUCCAAGCUCUUCCCAUCAUCACUCUGGUACACAAUCCUUGUUGCAUGUCCACUCCGAGUCACAACUUGAGGUAAUCCUUCCUGAUUUAUCUCCAUUUGAUCUCAUUUUACAUACUGCACCAUCGACUUACUCAAUGGUCACUAGAUUGAAGAGUGGAACAAUUGAGAGACAAAAUUAUGCUGCUUUAAUAGCACAAUGUCCUGAGCUUUGUUCUCUCCAAAUCACUAAUGAAGAACCUUUCACGGGUGGCUAUUCCUUUCUUUCUGAGAUCACUGAUGCUUCAGAACCGAAGACAUUUCGGAAAGCGGCUACUAAUCCACAGUGGCAAAAGGCAAUGCAGGAGGAAUAUGAUUCACUUCGAGCACAAGGAACUUGGCUAUUGGUUCCUGCACCUGAAGAUAGAACAAUUGUAGGAAGCAGAUGGGUGAAGUGAAGAAAAACCCCGAUGGCAGUGUCUCUGAUGUGAAAAUUACUUGACACACAAAUUAAACCCUAUUGAUGACAAUUGUAGCAAAGAUGUUAGUAGGGAUCGUUCUAAACCGGGAAUUAACUAGGGCUGCUAAUCUACUCAAAUUAAACUCUAAAACACUAAACUAGACUUAAAAACACAAGAAUAGACUCUAUAGACUCUAAACUGACCUAAGACACUCAAAUCUGCAAAACUAAGUGAAAUUGACUCAAUUCUAAACCUAACAAGUGAAUUGGACGAAAUUAAAACUUACUUUGACUCAAAAGAUUAAAAGAAAACAGAUUGUAACUUAACUAACUUAGAAAACACUUAAAAGACUCAAAACAGCACAAUACUAACAAUUAGACUCAAAACAGAUUCUAGAGAUGAAAUUGGACGAAUUUAAGACUAAACUAAGACCCAAACAAUGGUUAUGGACUAAACCUAACCUAUAUUGACUCAAAACACUCUAAAGAACCUAAUUAGGACAGAUUCUGACCUAAUAACAUAAAACAGAAAAGGGUGUUUGAUUUCUGACGAAAUUGAAUUAAAACUAAACAAAUUGCAAAUCAAAGUAAACUAAAACGAAAUUAAGAUGAAUUCAAGGGUGAAAAGCUAGUUAGAGGAUCCUUCUCCACACAUGAACAUAUGCAACAUAAAUCGAUUUCCAGUAUUGUUUCUUUAAACCAUGAACGACAAUGCCCCAAAUUAAUCGUGAAUGCACAAAUUAACUCUCAGAUUUCCCUAAAUUCAUUGAAUUGGAUGAAUGCAUGCAACAACCCAAAUUAUUCUUCUCAAGUUCCCUAUAUGAACAUCAUGAUAGAGAUACAUUCAAAGAUCAUUAAAUUCCAUGGAAAUCAUAAGCAUUGACAAGGCAAUUAUAACUAUGAACUGCAUGAUACUUUUGCCAAGAAUCUACUUAACACGAUUGUGACUAACAAUCUCCACUACUUGUAAUUAUAAGUUUCUAACGAUUAGGUGAAAGUCCCUUAUAAUUUAGCAUCAGAUUCAAGCAUGCAAACUAAGUAGGCCUCCUUAAUCAACACACAAGAAUAAGUUAUCAAUCAAAUAGAUAAGUAAAUCGCAUUCAUGUUUUACGAAACAAUAACUGAAAGGAAUCAAUUCAUAUUAACAUAUGUCCAUGGCUUCAAAUUCACCACUAACUAAUAAGAGUUUAGUUCCACAUGUUCAUAACAAUUGAAACGCAAAUUAAAAUAAACAUCGAAACUGAAACGAGGGAAGAAAAAACUAUGAAAACUCCCAAGGAUGCAGAUGGCUUGCGCACAAGGCCCUCCUUCAUCAAUGGAAUGCACGACAAGGUUCUCCUUCUUCUCCAAAAGGUGCGGCAGAGAUGUAUAUGGAUGUAGGAUGGUGUUUUGUGAUGUAGAAUGGUGAUUAGGGUUGCGGCAAGGUGUUUCUGAAUGGUGAAGGGUGGUGACAAAUUUAGGCCUUAAAAACACAUAUAUAUAGGCAUGGCAAAGCUAGGGUUUUCACAAAAUUUGAUGGGAAAAGGUUAGGGUUUUGGAGAUAAAAGGCUUGGCCCAUUCAAAGGAGAAAAGAAUUAGGGUUUUAUGCAGAUUCCUAGGCUUCUAGAACACUAGGUGCGGCACAACCCUAGGGUGGAUGGACUAGGGUUUAAAUUUAGCAGAAAAUAAAGGAUUAGGGCCCUAGGGUGCGGCAUGGGCUUAGAACAAAGCUGAAAAAGGAUUAGGAAACUUCAAAUUCAAGAGUAGAAACUUUCAAGAAUGGAAACCUCCAAGAAUAGCAACUUCCAACUUUAGAAACUUUGGUUUCCAAUUCUGAACUCUUUGCUCUUCAUGUUCAUUUCUUCAUUUCUUCCCUCCUUUGAUCUUCAAUUUCGUUCAUCCCUUUGGCUCCAAGCAUGUGAUAUCCAUUUUAUGCUCAAAACUGCUUCAAAAGGCUCCAAAUUGCACUUUCUCGCCAACUUUGUCAUUUGGACCUAAAAACACACGAAAAUAGCUUAAAACACUAUAAUAACCACAAACUAACUAUAAAAGUGCAAGAAAACAAGCUAACUAAGUUGCAUAAAUAUGCUCCUAUCAGUCUCCCAGUAUAAAGCAAGGCUUGUAGCUCAAGGGUUCUCCCAAGAACAUGGUAUUGACUACUUGGACACAUUUAGUCCUGUUGUUCGACAUACUACUGUAAGGAUUAUUCUUUCUUUAGCUGCCAUGAAUCAUUGGACUCUUCGACAAUUAGAUAUCAAGAAUGUUUUUCUACAUGGAGAUUUACAAGAAGAAGUUUAUAUGCAGCAACCACAAGGGUUUAUUGAUCCAUCAUAUCCUUCUCAUGUUUGCAAAUUGGUCAAGUCAUUAUAUGGCUUGAAACAGGCUCCACGCGCGUGGAAUUCAAAGUUUACAAGUUAUUUGACAGUUAUGGAGUUUCAUGCCUCAGCUUCUGAUACAAGUUUGUUUGUCAAGAAGGAUGACUCUGAUAUCAUCAUCUUAUAACUUUAUGUUGAUGAUAUCAUCUUAACUGGUUCUAAUCCUUUGAAGAUCCAAAAAGUGAUUCAAGAAUUAUCUGAGGUAUUCGAGUUGAAGGAUAUGGGACAGCUUACAUAUUUUUUGGGUUUACAAGUUCAAUAUAAAGCGGAUGGCAGUGUUUUUGUUAAUCAGUCUAAGUAUAUCAAAGAUCUUGUCCAUAAAGCAGAUAUGGAAUCGUGUAAACCAGCAACCACUCCGUGUAAACCUCAUCAUCAAAUGUUACACUCUGAGGGACAAUUGUUGACAUAUCCAACUUCCUAUAGAAGCAUUGUGGGAUCUUUACAAUAUCUGACCUUUACUAGGCCUGAUAUUGCCUUUGCUGUAAACACAGUAUGUCAGUUUAUGUCCUCACCAACUGAUGUUCAUUUUGGCGUUGUUAAACGCAUCAUUCGUUAUCUUCAAGGAACCAUGAAUAUUGGUAUUACUUUUUCUGCAAACACAGUUUCAAAGCUUACUGUGUUUUCUGAUUCUGAUUGGGCUGCAGACUUGAAUACUUGUCGGUCUAUCACUGGUUAUGUUGUGUACUUAGGCAAUAAUCCAAUUUCUUGGCAAUCGAAGAAACAAAACUCGGUAUCCAGGAGUUCUACUGAGGCUGAAUAUAAAGCCUUAGCACAUACUGCUGCAGACAUAGCUUGGAUUCGCAAUAUAUUGAAGGAUUUGGAUGUACUUUUGGAUGCUCCACCAACAAUUCACUGUGACAAUAUGUCCGCUAUUGCCUUAAGUGCCAAUCCGGUGUUUCAUUCAAGAAUCAAACACCUUGAUACAGACUACCAUUUUGUACGCGAACGAGUGCAGCAAGGCGAUCUGGAGGUGUUGUAUAUCCCAACUGAGGAGCAAACUACCGAUGUUCUUACCAAAGGUCUUCACAGUCCUUCACUUGUCAAACAUUUUUACAAUCUCAAGCUGGAAAAUCCCGGUUGAGAUUGCGGGGGGAUGUUGAAGAUAUAUAGUGAUUGACACAUCAUCAUAAGUGCCACAUCAGCUAUUGGAGUUAGUUAGUUUGUUAAGAAUCAGUUACACAGGUGGCUUAGCUGAUAAGCUACAUGUGCAGACUAUAUAAAGGAAUCAGGGGUCUUUUGUAUCUCUCUUCAUCCUUAAUGAAAUAACAAAACUUUUACUCAUUUCUUUCUCUAGUUCUCUCUCUAUUCCUUUCGAUCUUUCUCUCUGUAUUUCUUUGAUAUUGCUUGCAUACAUUCAUCUGUUAAUUCUUAGAUGAAUGUUAUCAUUUACAUCCUACACCAUGCUAAUAAUAUCCACCAAUUCUCUAUUUUAUUUAAAAAUAAAUAAAAAAUAUAUAUGAGGUAACGCAAGCUCUAGCUAGGUUUCAAGUCUACCAUGUUUAUUUUGUAGCAAGCAAGUGGAAUUAAUUAAGAAAAAUUUCAGUUUGGGUUAGGAGGAUAGAGGAGGGUGAUUAAUAUUACCUUUGGUGUAUUUCCAGACUUCACAGAGCCCGAAGUUUCCCAGUCCCCUUCAUUUACUGCAACAUGGUGGUACAGUAUCAGAGGCUCGGGAAUGUACACGUGGUGCUGGUUGCUAAUGACUUUGUACAAACGAUUUAUCAGCGUUCGCUUUGAACCCCCCAGUCUCCAGCUUGUAAUCACCAGCUCCACUCACAGCCAUUUUUUAUAAAGGAAAUUAAUGAAAAUGAUUCGAAAAUUUUGAAUUUUAACUAUAAUAAUAAAUAAAUGGUAAAGUAAAUAGUACCAUGAUUGAUUUUUAGUGUAAAUAUAUUAUUUUUCCUUAAAAUAAACAAUAUCAGAAGUUUUUCGUUCAAAUUCUCUUUUUUUUAAUUAGUAAUUAAUAUUAAAGUUCAUCUAAGAUUAUUUUUUAAAGGAGAUAUAUAUUAAAAGUAUCAAAUAGAAAAACAAGACAGCAUCAUUUAAAAAAAGGAAAACUAAUGAAAAUUGCUUGAAAACUUUGAGUUUUAACGAUAAAGACAAAAUAAAAAGUAAAGUAAAUAGUACCAGGUUUGACUUUUUAAUGUAAAAAUGUGGUUUUUCGUUAAAGUGAACAAUAUCGCUGGUUUUUCGUUAAAACUCCCUUCAAAAAAAGGGAAAGGGAUCAUUUUCGGAUUUGUUCUACCUAAUCAUCCUCAUCAAAUAAUCCGAGCUUUUAAAAUUUGAUCUAACGGCUAAAGUUAUUAUAACUUUUAGAAUUAGCCCGUAUUUUUAACCGUUUAAUCAAAUUUUAAUGAUCUGAAUUAUUUGAUGAUGAGAAUUAGAUAAAAAAGAUUGAAUGAUCGCUUUUCCAAAAAAGGAAAAAGAAAAACAAGACAGCAAGUUUCUUUUAACAGAUGAAUUUUAUUAGAGGUGGAACUGGUGUCCAACAUCCCAGGUGUUUUCUGAUAGCAUAACCCAAUAACGUCAAAUCCAUUAAUUUGAUUAUUUAAUAAAUGGCUCCCACAAUAGGAUUUGGAUCCUCUCCGAGGCAAUUGGUCGGAUCCUUCUGAUCAAUGUUUGUGGACUGUUAGAUUUUUAUUCAACGACUAUAAAUAAGGGGACAUUCUAAAGUUAUAAUAAUUGUAGUCGUUGGAUAAAAAUUCAACGGUCCAUAUACAUCGAUCUGGAGGAUCCCGACUCGAAGAGGAUCCAAAUCCCCCACAAUACACCAAUCACGUACCCCACCCAACCAAUUUACACAAUUUUUAACAGUAGGUCCCACAAUAUAUAAGAAAAAAGAAAUUUGACUCAUCAUUUGAAAAAAUAAAAAAAAAUUAACAUUUAACUUCAAAUACUCAUUUUAGUCAUUAAAUAAAAUUUAACAAUUUAUAAAUGAGUAAUGUUAGAGAAGCUAAUUUUUUAGACUAAAUUUUAUAAAUUAUAUGUAUUUGUUAACGAUUAAAUUAUUAUUUAAGUGUUGCUUAAUGUUUAUAUAGAGCCACAACCCACAAAGUCCUAGACAAAUAGCAUGUUUUAGUUAUGGAGGCAGUUGUGGUGGAUAUGAUCUGAUCACUUGAAGAAAAUGACGAGUCUGCGGAUCCUUGUGCAUCUUCAUCUUUGACAUGGGAGGUUUUAUGACUAGACCUACCAAAUUUAAUCACAACAGCGAACUUGAUAAUGAGACAUCAAUAAUUCAACGAUUCAGAAAACUUCAAUUAAAUUGGGACCCAUAAAUAAAUAUGCUAUUACUUCUUUUGUAAUCAAAGCUGGAUCAUUGAUGCCUAAUUCAGAAAGAGAAGUGUUAUUGGCACUUCAAAAGUCUCAUUGUACACUCUUUACAAGUGUAUUUUUCUUUCUUAAUAUAGAAAAUUUGGAGUGUAGAAUAAGAUUUUUGAAAUGCUACUAACAAUUCCCUUAAAAAAAAAAAAGGUUUUUAUGUUUUGCAUGCAACAUUUGGACACAGGAAUAUUCUUUGGGAUUCUAAUUGCGCAUACGUAUUAUCUUUCAAAUAUAUAAAAUUUGAAGUGCAAUUAAAUUUUUAGAAUGUAAAUAAAAGGGGAAACUUGAUAUAACUUCAAUUUUUUGAGCCAAUAGUAAGAAUAGUCCAAUUUAUUAAAAUAAGUCCAAUUCUUUAAAUUUAAUUAUUUUAUUAUCAAUAAUUAUCUCUUAAAAGAAAAAACUUAUUGUAAAAAUCAAAUUUCUUCCUAAUUAUCUCUUUGAUUAUUUCUUUUUAUUUAUUUAUUUGUUAUUUCUUGUUCUUCCUCCUGCUUUAACCCAUUUAUAGAUUUUUUUAAAUUUUUAUAAUCAACCUAUAUCAUAGGUUAAUUGUAUUUAUCUACCUAUAUGACAUAUUCUCUUUCAUAGUCAACAUGUCACAUAUUAAUGUGUCUUGCUUGUAGGUAUAUUAUAUUUUUUUCUACUUUUUAGUUAGGUUUCAUAUCUCACUUAUAGGUAUAAUAUACAUUCAUAUAUUUGCUACUUGAGUUAGGGUUUACUGUUUUGCAGAUAGAUUUAUGUUAGUAUAUUAAUUUUUUUUUGUUUAUAAGAUAUUAGUUAGAUAUUUUGGAGUUGAAAAAUGCAUAAUAUUAAAAUAUUUUAAUUGAUUUUUAAUAUUUUUAGAAAAUAUAAAAGGAGUAUAAAAGAAAUAAAAACAUAUAAUUAGAUAACUGGAGUCACUUCUAAAAACACUCUAUGUUUUUUGACCUGGAUCUAAAAGCCCCUAAAUAAAAUUACCUUCUUUUAUUGGUUUUUUUUUAAGGCUCGCAAAAAUGGUUGUCUUUGUUGUUUGGCGAAGGAACUUCAUGGAUAUCAUCAUAUUGUGGUCUUCUUUUUCACUUGUAUUGCUAAAAAAUAACUAAUUACAAAUCAAUUUUCAUCAAAAGGGUUGUUAAAUAAGAUAUUAAUUAAUGCUAUUUUUUUUCUUGAUACUGUUUGGGUCUCUCAACCUCGAUCUAUUAUUUUGCAUUUUAUUUCUUCCAUGAUCAUAUGUGUCUCCAUUGUUUAACAACAACUAAAAAUACUAUUGUUUCUUUAAAAAAAGUACUAUGUAUUUGACUAAGGCGAUUUUAUAUGACGAUGAGCAACAAAGUGGAGAUGGUGCACUACACCUUUUAUUUUGCAUACCAUAGUUCAUACAUUACAAUCUCACAUAUGAUAUCCCUUCACGUACAUUUGUUACAAGGCAACUUACAAAGCAAAGCAUUUUAAUUACUUGUAAUCAAGCAAAAGGCACGCAUUAUUAACACAAAUAUUAUAUACUAACGAUGGACGUCACACUGUUUCACCAUUGCAUUCUUUUCCUUUCCUUAAUUUAUCAUGCCUUGAUAAAGUGAGCAUCAAGAUCCUUGACGAUGUUAACCAUCAAACCGACGUAUUUGUCCGGACUGCAACAUCCUCAGUCAGUUUCUCAUAUUCAGUCGACAAUUUUGCAAUGUUGUCUUCAUUCUUUUGAGUGAAUUGAUAGACUGGCUUGAAGCUCUUGUAAUACUGGAAGACAUCUCCUUUCAGUCCAUUCAGUGUUAUGGAUUUGUUCUCGUUGUUUGACUACACUUUUUCCUUGAAUACUCGAACUUCGUCCCCUAUGUAUUCACAAGAAAGUGGUCUCUAUAUUGACCAAGGAACAAUAUAAAGGGAGCGUUUGAUAAAUAAUUUGUUUUAAGUUUUCACAAAAAUGAAAAUUGAAGUUAUUUUUGUCAGUUUUCUAAAUUUAUAUUAGUAAUUUUUAUUUUUUGAAGACUGAAAUAACAUGAGAUGGUUGAAUUAUUGCGGCACACCUCGAUUCUUUACCAACAUAUUUUGUUCUAAUUAUCCAUUAUAUCAAUAUAUAUUUUUCACGUAUGGGUUAAAAGUUGUUCGCUUGUGAAUCAGGGUUUAGUUAUUGCGAUCCUUCUAGUAUUGCUGGAUUAUGAUUAACAUAUAAUUGUGUUCUGAUCUUAGAGAAAAAAGGUACAUACCAUGUUAAAUACAUGAAGGUAUUUAUAUAUAAAUAUAGAGCUCGUUUGGAUGUGCUUUUAAAAUGGUUAAAAACACUUUUAGAGAAAGAAAAAAAUUUGUUCCAAAAGCACUUAAAUUGCUUUCUGCAAGAAGCAACAGUUAUGUGCUUUUCCAGGAAGCACUUUAAAUGCUUUUCCAGAAUUAACUUACAUUUUUACCAAGGAUUGGUUUUAAAAACAUUUUCACAAAAAAUGUUUUCAAUCAUUUUAAAAACAUAUCUAAACAAACACAUAUAUUAUGCACGUAUACUGAAAUUCCAACUUUUGAUAGAUCGAGCCAUGAGUUUCCUCCUUCAUGCACGUGAACUCCCUGGAUACUUCCAGAAUAAAUUUUUGGGACGUGUGGCGAGCCUGGCUAUUGAAGAUAUUGUAGAACUUCUCAGCAGGUGCCUUAAUUUCAAUCUCUGUUCGUGCAGAGUCAUGUUUAUGAUCAGUUGGGAUGGUGCUCAACAAUGCGUCGCCAAGGCCUGUUCUAAAGAAAACUUAAGGUCACCCCUCUACUGCUACAGUUAAAUUAUGCAAUAUUAAUUUAUGCUAUAACUUUGAAAAAGUAGUGCUUCGAACGAUCGCAUGAAAAACAUUCGUUUAUUAAAAAAAAGGUAAAUCGUCAAAAUGGUCCUUGAGAUUUGUAUAACUUAUCACUUUGAUCUCUAAGAUUCCAAAUCGAUAAAAGUAGUCCCUGAGAUUGUCUACCAUCCAUCAUUUUGGUCAUUCGGUUAAAAAAUCCGUUAAGUGUCCCGGAGCUCUUAGCCGGAGGUUUGGACAAUUUUCAAAACUUCGUAACUCAAUCGUUUCUUAACCAAAUUUGACCCAUAAUAUAUCAAAAUGAAGAUAGGAAAGUGUAGAAUAAGAUUAUACCUAUUUCAAAGCCCAAUGGUUGCCGAAGAUUGUCAGAAAAUAGCCUCAAAGUUGACUGGUUCGAGUGAAAACUUGAAAACUCGCUGGAAACUGAGUAAACUUUAAACGUUCAUAACUUCUUCAAUACUCAACGAAAUCAAGUGAUUCAAAAACAAAAAUCAUACUUCUCGAUGAGAUGAAGAGAAUGAUACCUUUUUAGAUGGCUAAAUCGUCGUGGUUUGGCCGGAAAGCAGCUCGAAAGUGGCUAACUCGAGACCAAGAUAGCCACUUUCAAGCCGUUUUCCGGCCAAACCACGGCGAUUUAGUAGUUAAAAAAGGUACCAUUCUCUUUGUCUCAUCGAGAAGUAUGAUUUUCAUUUUUGAAUCACUUGAUUUUGUUGAGUAUUGAAGAAGUUAUAAAGGUUUUGAAGUUUACCCAGUUUCCGGUGAGUUUUCAAGUUUUCACUCUGACCAAUCAACUUUGAGGCUAUUUUCUGGCAAUCUCUGGCAACCAUUGGGCUUCGAAAUAGGUAUAAUCUUAUUCUACACUUUCCUAUCUUCAUUUUGAUAUAUUAUGGGUCGAAUUUGAUUAAGAAACGAUUGAGUUACGAAGCUUUGACAAUUGCCCAAACUUCCGGCCAACAGCUCCGGAACACUUAACAGAGUUUUUAAUGGAAUGACCAAAAUGAUGGAUGGUGGACAAUCGCAGGGACCACUUUUAUCGAUUUGGAAUCUCAGGGACCAAAGUGAUGAGUUAUGCAAAUCUCAUGGACUAUUUUGACGAUUUAUCCUUAAAAAAAAUUCAGAUAAAGAAAAUGAGAAAUUAAUUUCUCAUCCCUCUUUUUUCUAUUACAUUGAUUAAAAUCUUAUUUUUGAUCAAGGUCCUAACUUUCAAUGAACGUCAUUAUUUCUGUUAUAAAUUAUUUAUAUAUCAACAUAAUUAAAUUUUAUUUUUGAAAUAUAUUCAAUUAGUAUUAGAAACAUUACAUUUGGUACAUUUAUAUUUAUCAUUAAACUUUGUAUCAUAUAUUUCUAUUUUUAGUUUGUACCAUUUUUAAUUGGCAACCCUUUUUUAAUUUGUAUCAAUUUUCUUUUUAAUUUUAAUGUGUACCGAUAUAUUAAUUUCAUUUUGUGCCCAUAAUUUUUUUUAAAUUUUUUUAUACUCAUAAUUCAUUUAUAAUGUACCCAUAUUUCAUUAAAACUCUUUUUUUUUCUUUAUAAAUGUACCACUUUGUUAUAUGUAAGAUGUACCAAAUUGUUUUUUUUGUAAAUGUACCAUUUUUAUGUAAAAUGUUCCCAUAUUUAAUGUAAAAUCUAUUUAUUUUUUUAUUAAGAAUGUGUACAUAUUUAUAAUAAAACGUUCCCCUUUUCAAUUUUUUUGAACACUAUGGGUACAUUUGUUUGACAUUUAUUAUUUCAAAGGUAUAUUGUUACCUAUUUUUAUCUAUUUAUUCAAUCAAAAUUUUUGAGUAUUUUUUUUAUUGUAAUCGUUUUUAAUUUAUAUGCUAUAUAAUAUGGGAUUUUAAAUCUCAUAACAUGUCAAGUAAUUAAUAUCAAACAAUGAAAAUACAUAUUAAUAGCCAUAAUGAGGUGUACCUUUAAAGUCAAGGGACUUUGAUAAAAAAUUGAAUACUAUUAAAGGUUUAGUCAAAUAAUGUUAUUGACUAGGGACUGAAUCCAAAGUCUCUCUAAAAAAUAUAUAUAUAUAUAUAAGACAAACGUACGUAAUCACUUUCGGUUCGAUUAAGAACAUGAUUUGGAUCAAUAAUAUUAGGGUGCUAAUAUUGAUAUCAUUAGAUUUCAAUUACUAAUCACUGGUUUUUUUGCAAUAUUAUACUUUUACUCAACUACCACAUUUUUUCCCUUCUGGAUGUAUGAAAAUUUAGGUAUUGCGUUCGUUCUUUUUUGAGAAGUCAUCGCCAACUCCCUUGCCCUACUAUUUUUAUCAAGGAAAAACUCCCCAUGUUUAAAAGCUGUAUAAUUAACCAGGAUGAAUGCUGGACAACUGUCGAAAGCAAAACUCAAAGUUCAUUGUAUAAUUAUAACAGUGAGACUACAGCCUGACGAAGAACAUGAUUGUCAAAAGUUAUAUAAAAAAAAUGAUAUCAGAGUAAAUCUCCAAUGAAUCGGAAAGUGAGUCUUUAAAAUAUAGAGUCUUAAGUGGAUUAGUGUAGAAUAUCUUUUGUACUAAAAAAAAAGUUAUGUAUAUAAUGUUGAGAAUGAAUCCCACAUUGAUAGGAGGAGUGAUAAGGAUUUUUAUCACCUGCAAAUAUAAGGAUAAAAACACUUAAAAAUACUUGCAAAAGUACAAGGUUGUCGUAGUAUAGCAGUUCAAGCAAGGUCAUUUUUCACAGGAAUUGAAUGCAUAGUUUAUGUUUAUACUAAUUCUUAGCUAAUUAUUUAGAACAAAGAUUGGAAAAGGUUGAUUUUGAAUUUAAAAAUAAUAAAAACGAAUUUAAUUAAAAACAAUUAAAGGAAUUUACUAGAGAACAAUUUAAAGAAAGUCAAUUUGUAAAGAUUAGGGUUCCGCCGUUCCCUUAACAAUCCUACGCAAUUUUACCAAUUACUUAUGAAUUUCCACACACAUGCUUUGAAGGUUAGGUUUUCCUAAUGCAUAUUUUUCUCGUGAUGUUCAAGCGAAAACAUAAAUCUAACAUGCAACCCUUUUGUAAUGUUCAGAUCAAAUAUAAACAUGCAAGACUCAUUAAGCUUUGUGAAAACCCUUUGAAAAACCAUGGAACCCUUAAGAGCGUGAUGUUCGCCUUAAGUGAACUUACAAUUACUAAUCAUAAGAAGCCCUCCUCAAUUUCAGGGUGAUGUUCUGUCACAUCCCGGCAUCGUGCUAGGUAGAUAUGAGAAUAUACAUAUAAGGAUCACUCCCCUGGGCGAUGUGGGAUCUUACAAUCCACCCCCCUUAGGGGCCUGACGUCCUCGUCGGCACACCACAACCAGGGUUAGGCUCUGAUACCAAAUAGUCACAUCCCGACCUGGGCCCCCAUCACAUCCCGGGCUCGACUCCACCGUAGCACGAUAUUGUCCGCUUUGGGCCCCGACCACGCCCUCACGAUUUUGUUUCUGGGAACUCACACGAGAACUUCCCAGUGGGUCACCCAUCUUGAGAAUGCUCUCGCGCGAACUCGCUUAACUUCGGAGUUCUUAUGGAACCCGAAGCCAGUGAGCUCCCAAAAGGCCUCGUGCUAGGUAGAGAUGAGAAUAUACAUAUAAGGAUCACUCUCCUGGGCGAUGUGCGAUCUUACAUGUUCCAACCGAAAUUGCAUCAAAUUACUUGUCUAAAAAUCCUAAUGGUCGCAAAUUACUAAGACAAUUAGAUAGCUUUAAUCGCAAUGAUUAAUAAUUCAAAGCAAGCAUGCAUCCAUUCAUAAGGAAAUUAAUAAAAUCACAUAUUCAUGCUAAGGCUCAUGGCUUCGCCCUAGCAAACAGAAAUUAGUUACGAACUAUAAAAACUAAAGAAAAUAUAUUAACUAGAAAAAGGAUUGAAAACACCUUGUAGGUAAAAAGUCUGAAAUUCUCCAAAAUAAUGUGUGCCUUCUCCCCCUAACCUUAAUGGCUAAAAAGCCUUAUUUAUACUACUCCAAAUUAAAACCCUCAUAGAAAAGGUUUUCUAAAAACUAGGAAAUAAAAUAACAAAAGGAUAACUAAGAAUUGCAUUCCUAUUAUGACUAUGAAAUCUGCCCAUAAAAAAGAUAGCCAUGUUUCUGGAUCUUCAGGGUUCCAAAACAGACCCAAAAUGGCUAGAAUUAAAGAUUAGGACCUCCUCUUCAAGUUAGAAGAAGAACCCAAGUCCAAAAUCCAUCAUCUUCCAACCCAAAAGUCACAAAUAAGCUCUGCAGCCCAAUCUGCCAGCACUGCACGCUGGGCAUAAAUUAAUUCACCACGAUCUGAUGCUUUGAGAUAAAAUUAUGAAAUUCUGAUACAAUCUUCUUGACAGACUCACGAACCCACUCCAAUUGGAAUCACUAAAAAAUUCCACCGUUUGAGUACUUUAUGAUCAAAACAAGUUCGCAUGUCCUACAAUAAAAACAUAGAGCAAAGCCUCAAAAUCUCACUAAAAUAAUAACCAAAAUAUACCAAGAAUAGGGAAUAAUAUAUAGUAUAAAAUUGACUCAUUAGGACAUUGCAUGAACUUAUAAGUAAGUUGGGCUACUUUCUAUAUUGCCAAUUGGUUUUAUGGUGUAACCUUAACUUUCUUCAUACCCAUGUGUGAAGCCAAAAGACCACGCACGCUCCAUGUCACCCAUUUGUGUUGUUCACGUAUUAGACUUGAAAAUUCGCCACACGUGAGGGCGCGUAUUAAGAAUGAAUCUCACAUUAAUGGGAGGAUAAAUCUUGCAUGCACCUAUAAGUAGGUUGAAAAACAAUAUUGGACAAAUAUUGUAGAGUACACCACAUUUUAUUUUAUAGAUGCGAUCGACAACCAUAAUCUAUUACAUCACAAUGUCAUAUAUGACAUCCUUCGUACAUCUUUUACAAUACACACAAACCUAAUUAAGAAAAGCAUUUUAUUUAAGUAGGUACGCAUUGAUGAACAUAUGCAUGCAUGAUUACAUAUAAUUGAACCCUUUUUAACAAGACCAGCAAAAGCUCUUUCCAACCGUUGCAUAUGACGUAUGGUUUUUAUUCAUUAAUUAAUUAAUUUAUGCUCCCAGAAGGUGAGCGUCAAGAUCCUGGACGAGUUUAACCAUCAAACCGACAUAUCUAUCUGGAGCUUUAACAUUCUCAUGCAGUUUCUCGUAUUCGAUCCACAGGUUGGCAAUGCAGGUGCCUUCAUCUUUUUGAGUGAAUUUAUAGACACCCUUGAAGCUCUUAUAAUACUUGAACACUUCUCCUUCCAAUCCUUUCAGAGUUGCGGCUUGUUCCCAUCGUCUAGCUCCACCUGUUCCUUGAAUAUCCCGACAUGAUCCCCUAUAUAUAUGCAUGCAUGCAUUCAUGGUUAAUUUCAUAACAACAAAAUAUAUAAACUUUCUCACCCUCUCUUAUUAGGAUCUUGUUUCCACUGUAGCAAAAAGGGGGCAAUAUGACUUAUUUAGGAAACAUGUAUUUACUGUAUAUGACUCUCAUUGUCUAGAACAAAAAUUGAAGGAAGCAUUGAAAUAUAUAUAAGAGGUCAUAUAUGGUAAAUACAUGAUUUCUACGAUUGUUCUAUCUCGACCUUGUUUUUGCUACAAUAAAUCAGAAUUUCUGCGAAAAAGCUGUAAACAUUGAAACUCGUGCUAUGAACGUAUGAUGAUUUGAGCGCAUCUGUUAAGGUAUACAUACAUAUAAAGUGAAUAAUUAAACAGGAAAAUUGAAUUAAGUAGCGGUACCUAGUUCAUAUUUCCAAAUCUUAACAGAGCCGUGUGUUUCCCAAUCUCCUUCAUGCACAUCAACUCCUUUGAUAUGGGUAUUAGAGAUGUUUGGGAUGAGGUGGGCGCUCUUGAACAUGUUGUACAACUUGUCAGCUGGUGCCUUAAUUUCUAUUUCAGUCCCAAUUUUACCAUGCAAAACCAUGUUUAUGAGCAGUUUUGAUGGGUGCUACUCAGAAAUUAUAAGAGAAGAAUGUUAAAGGAUAUGUAUAAUUUGGGCUCCUACCCUCCUUAAAUAGAAGCGACUAGAGUUAAAUUGCGAGAUAAAACUUAAUAUAUCCGGAACACGAUACAGUACGCCAUAUAUAUAUAAUAUGUAAUAUAAAUAUGGAGGGAAAGUUUUUUUUUUUUUUUUUUUUUUUUUUUGCAAGUGUUUCUCUACUUGUGUAGACGUAUGUACCCGUGUUCUAGAUAUUAAAAAUUCUCCCGUAAUAUUUUAAUAGUGGGUAAUCCAAUUUAAAAACCAAAUCAUGCAACACGUGAUAAAGAUUAAGUCAUAUAUUUUUUAAAUCAUACUUCUCGGAUAAUUGGAAUCCUAUGAAGUAAUGAUCACAAGUUCACAAUAUGCAUGGAUAGAUGAAGGGUUUGCUCAUGAUUAAUGUUAGGGAGACCAAAUUUCUAAAUCAAAAUUUGUAAACAAAAUAAUGUGGAGGUAAAUGAUUGAAUUAUUAUUUAAGUGUUAAUUAAUAUGCUUGUUUCUUAUUAAUAACAUAUCAUUUGAUUUGCAUUCACGCAUGCGAUAAAGAUUAGAUUAGUACGAUCACACUAAAAAUUUAUAUGUAAAUGUUUUAAAAUAAAAUGUAAUUUAUCUGCAAAAUGUUUUUUUUUUAAAAGGUACGAUAUUCUUUAAUAACAAAUUUAUACGUACAUCAAUGAGGAUAGGGUGUAAACAAAUGGCCUCGAUAAAAACCUUGCCGGGGUUUUUAACCCGAUCGAAGAGAGAUUUUUCAAUGUGACCGUCACACAAGGAGGUACACCACGUGUCUCUAUGUAAAUGGUUAGAUAUGUGUGUUAAAAGAUUAAUAACUUAAAAAUUAAAAUUUUCCACCACUUACAUAAAAAUACGUGGUGUACCAUCCGUGUUCCUGUCACAACUAAAAAUUUUCCCCGGUUGAAGGGAAAAAGAGUGUCCCACACCAACAUAAUUAAUUAAGAAUUGCUAUCCUAAAAAAGAAGAUCAAGAAUUACAUUAGGAAGUUCCUCAGACCAAACCACACAUUGUUACCAUAACUCAAGCUCAUACGUGCUAGCCUGUGUGCCACCUUGUUCGUCUCCUUUUGACUAAAUUCAACCUUCCACUUGGACAAUGAAUGAAUAAUUGCGUGUGUCGUUUAGAAUGUUUCCAAAGUGUGAGGUGUCAAUACUUCCUUCUGCAAAAUGUUUUAGAAUAAAAAGUUUUAUAUCUUGUAGGAUCACAUCUAUUUAUUUAUUAUCAUUAUUAUAUUUUUGGAAAGAUCGAUACGUAUGGGCCAUGGCGUCUGGUUCUUUUGUUAAAAAGCCAUCAAAUGGGGAGGCAUGGAUGAGGUAUUAGGUAUCCACAAAUGUCAGUUCACAAAAUAUUAUACUAAAAGUAAUUGAAAAGAAUCAAACAAAUAUUAAUUCUUUUCCCAAGAUAAUCCACUAAAAUGAGGGUCCACAACAUAGUUUUUCGGGAACUUUAACGAAAAACACCCGGUACUGUUCACUUUAACGAAAAACCACAUUUUUACACUAAAAAAUCAAUCCUGGUACUAUUCACUUUACCCUUUAUUUUGUCCUUAUCAUUAAAGCUCAAAGUUUUCAAGCCCUUUUCAUUAAUUUUCCUUAGUUUUUUCCACUAGAGUUUAUUGAUCCUUGAAGACUAUCAUUGACGAUUGAUCAUCCAACAGGUGCAUUAUUUAUUUUUUAACAAACGGUAAUAGUUACUAUUUCUUGAAUUGGAUAGGGGUAUCGAUACUAUUUCUUAAAUAAAACAUUAAUACUAUUAUUAUUCUUAAACUGAAUACUGGCACUAUUACUAUUUUUUAAACUGAACAUUCAUUAUUUCUUAAACCGAGCGCUGGUACUAUAACUAUUUCUUAAACUGAACAUUCAGUAUUUCUUAAACUGGACAUUCACUAUUUCGUAAACUGAACACAAAUAUUAUUACUAUUUCUUAAACUGAAUAUUCAUUAUUUUGUAUACUGAACACGGAUAUUAUCAUUAUUUCUUAAACGUAACACUAAUAUUAUUACUAUUUCUUAAGCUGAAUACUGACUAUUUCUUAAAUUGAACAAUAACUAUUUUUAUAAUUGAAUACAAGCACUGUCCCUAUUUCUUAAACCAAAAAUAGUGAAUUAGGGUUUAGUUAUUACGAUAUAUUACUGGAUUAUGAUUAACAUAUAAUUGUGUUCUGGCCUUAGAGAAAAAAGGUACACACCAUGUUAAAUACAUGUAGGCAUUUAUAUAUAAAUAUAUAUUACAUACGUAUAUAAUUCCAACUUUUGAUAGAUCAAGCCAUGAGUUUCCCAGUCUCCUUCUUGCACCUGAACUCCCUGGAUACUGCCAGAACAAAUUUUUGGGACGUGUGGCGAGCCUGGCUCUUGAAGAUGUUGUAGAACUUCUCAGCAGGUGCCUUAAUUUCGAUCUCAGUCUCAACCUUACCGUGCAGAGUCGUGUUUAUGAUCAGUUGGGAUGGCACUCAACAAUGCGUACAAGGCCUGUUCUAAAGAAACUUAAGGGCAGCCCUUUUCUGCUACAGUUAAAUUAUACAAUAUUAAUUUGAGGUAUUCAUCAAUUUACCUCCUAACUUAUAAGAAUUGGUCAAUUUUCCUUAUCAACUUUCAUAAUUAAUCAAUUUGCACCAUACUAUUAAUUUUUUAAAAUUUUUCAUCCUUUCUUCUGUUAAGUAUGUCAAGUGUUAUCCGCAUGACUGCCUUUAAAGGGUAAAAAGGUCAUUUUACCUACACCUUCCGUCUUCUUUCUCUUCUCCGAACUUUCUUUUCUUCUUCUUUUUCACCAAGCCGAGCCCGUACUGUUCCACCGUGCUCCACAGGCACGAUUUUCCCGGCGAACACCAAAAGAAACAGUGGGAGGGAUCUGAGCUCGUAGAUCCGCGUUCACUACAUCCCCUUCUUGCACUCCUCGCAAACCCUACCCUCCGAUUCUAAUGGGACACCUCCCCCGUCGCCACUGAGUUCCUGAAGAAGAACCGCGCAUACGACUUGGCCACCACCGCCGCCACUCCAACCACUCCCAGAGCCACAGGCGCGUGCUCCCCCGAAGACCCGCACCUGAAGUUGGCGCCCCCAAUUAUGAUCGAGUACUUGGACUUUCUCUUUCCCGGAUCCACGAAGCGCGUGGAGUAGGAGGCGGGGAGGUUGCAUAGCGUGUAAGACCCUAGCUUGGCGAUGUGGGGAGAAGAUGAGAUGGAUUUGAUCAAAGACUUGCCGAAGAAUCUGGGGAGAAGAUGCGGGGACUUUCUCUCCCGUAUUACUUAUCCUAUCAUUUUCCUUGUACGGGCUGCCAAACGAGGCCUUAGUAUGCUAUUGCCUUGUAUUUGAAAUUAGACAAUCGUUUUAUUUAAAAAAAAACAAACUUACUAAGUUCACACUUAAACAUAUUUAAACAAACUUACUAAGGUCAACACACUUGCAGAUAACACAAUUAAAACUAAACAUACCAACAAACAUGGAUCACACUUACAAGGCCAAACAAAGCAUAUAUAUAUAUAUAUGUAUGUAUGUAUGUAUAAUGUAUGUAUGUAUAUAUAUGUAUAUUAUAUUUAUGAACAGUAUUGCCCUUGCUCUUGUCUUUGCCCAACUGGUAGUAGAGUUGCACAGAGACAAAGUUGUUGGUAUAUGGUCCAGCCCAUGAUCAAUGUUCUAGAUUAUUCUAGUAAGCAAGAGAUGAGGCUGAAGCUUGCUAGACAAUUCUAGAAUGUUAUUAAGUUGAUGGAAGAAGCUAGAGAGUACUAGCUUCCUUGGUUGCAAAUGGAAAGAUCUAGAAGCUACAAGUAUAUGGCUAGUCUAGAUUUUUCUAUACUAGAGGUUUGAAGAAGGAACUAGAAACUAGUAGAAUGCCAAACCCUCACCUAUAAAUAUGGGUGUGAUGUAACCAAUUGAGAACCAAGAGUGAGUAGCAAAGGAUCAAGUCCAAAGCUAGAGUUCCACUCCAAGAGUGAGAGUGAGAGUGUUCCACUACACAUUGUGUGAGUGAAGUUUAGAGUGAUAGAAAGUGUGUGUUAUACUUUCUUGUAUCCAUCAAGCCUUGUCUUUGGCUUGGUAAGACUACUCUUGUUGUAUUCAUCUUUUUCAUAUAGUGAAGAUUGAUCCUUGUUUGGUGGACGUAGGCAUAAAUUGCCGAACCACAUAAACUUUUCUUGGCGUCCAUUUUCUACUUUACCUUGUGCAUUCUCUAUCUUGUAGUACCGACAUUCCUAACAAGUGGUAUCAGAGCCCGGUUGGCUCGUACUACGAGAUGGAAGGAAGUGGCACUAUGAUCAAACUCACCAACUCCAAUUGGGUAACAUGGAAGCCAAGGAUGGAGGACAUUCUCUAUUGCAAGGAUUUGCAUGAGCCAAUUGAAGGAGAUGCCGCUAAGCCCGAGAGCAUGUCCGAUGCCGAGUGGAAGAAGAUGAAUCGCAAGGCUAUUGGCACAAUUAGACAAUGGGUGGACGAUAGUGUUUUUCACCAUGUGUCUAAUGAAACCAAUGCUCGCGAGUUUUGGACAAAGCUUGAGUCCUUGUUCGAGAAGAAAACUCCAGCUAAGAAAGCCUUCUUGAUCAAAGAGCUCAUCAAUGUGAAGUACAAGGAUGGUUUAAGUGUAGCAGAACACUUGAACAAUUUCCAGAAUAUCAUCAACCAGUUGGCUACUAUGAAAAUGAUGAUCGAGGACGAGCUACAAGCGCUCUUGUUACUUGGAUCCUUGCCAGACAGUUGGGAGACCUUUGUGGUGAGUAUAAGUAACUCUGCUUCUAAUGGUGUUCUUACUCUUGAUAAUGUUAAAAAUAGCAUGCUCAAUGAAGAAACAAGGAGAAAGACUUCUGGCACAGAUAGCAGCCAAGUAUUUGUCACAGAGAACCGCGGAAGAAGCAAGAGUAGAGGGCCUAGAGGUCAUGGCAGGAGUCCUAGCCGAUCCAAGUCAAAGUUCAGGGGUGCAUGCCACCACUGUGGCAAAGAAGGCCAUAUGAAGAAAAAUUGUCGAGUUUGGAAGAGAGAGCAAAGGGAAGGAAACAAUCAGAAGAAAGAUGAUACUGGCAAUACCACCGCUGUCAUCUGUGGUGAUGUACCAGAAAUAUUGUCUGUUGGUGAAUGUCUGCAUAUGGGCAACUCUGACAGAGACAUUGAAUGGAUCUUUGAUAAUGGAGCUUCCUUCCAUGCUACGUCCAAACGGGAGUUCUUCAGUACAUACAAAGAAGGUGACUUUGGCAUAGUGAAGAUGGGGAAUGAAAGCUAUUCCAAAAUUCUUGGAAUUGGUGAUAUCUGCUUAAGAACUAAUCUCGGCUGCCAAUUGAUGUUGAAAGAUGUGAGACAUAUUCCUGAUAUACGUCUCAAUCUGAUAUCCAUCGGUACCCUUGAUCGACAAGGAUAUUAUCACCAUAUUGGCGAAGGAAAAUUGAAGCUUACUAAAGGCUUAAUGGUGGUAGCAAAAGCACGACUUUGUUGUACGUUGUACCGGUCAAAUGCACAGGUUUUUGAAAGGUGAGUUGAAUGCUGUGGAGGACUCAUCUCUAGACUUAUGGCAUAAGAGGCUGGGCCACAUAAGCGAGAAAGGCCUACAAGUUUUGGCAAAGAAGUCUCACAUUCCCUUUACCGAAGGUACGUCGUUAAACUCUUGUGAGCAUUGUUUAUUCGGAAAACAAAGAAGAGUUAGUUUUUCUGUUCCAUCUACAAAGAAAGGAAACUUGUUAGAUCUUGUUUAUUCAGAUGUGUGUGGUCCCAUGGAAGUCGAGUCACUUGGAAGAAAUAAAUAUUUUGUUACUUAUAUUGAUGAUGAUGCUUCACGAAGGGUGUGGGUGUAUUUGUUGAAAUCCAAAGACCAGGUGUUUCAGACAUUCCAGGAGUUCUAUGCCAUGGUGGAGAGGGAAACUGGGAAACCUCUCAAGUGCCUUCGUAGCGACAACGGCGGCGAGUACACAUCUCACCAGUUUAGAGAGUAUUGUGUAAAACAUGGCAUACGUCAUGAGAAGACAGUUCCUGGAACUCCACAACAUAACGGUGUUGCUGAAAGAAUGAACCGAACCAUCAUGGAGAAAGUCAGGUGUAUGUUGAGGACUGCAAAGUUAUCUAAGCAGUUCUGGGGUGAAGCUGUAAGGACAGCCUGCUAUUUGAUCAACCGAUCUCCAUCAGUACCAUUAGGUCUUGAUGUUCCAGAGAGAGUAUGGACUGGUAAUGAUGUGUCUUACUCUCAUCUGAAGGUGUUUGGUUGCAAAGCUUUUGUGCAUGUGCCCAAAGAGCAGAGAUCGAAGUUAGACUACAAAGCUACACCGUGCAUCUUUCUUGGUUAUGGCGGUGAAGAUUUUGGUUACAGAUUAUGGGACCCAUACCAGAAGAAGUUUAUCCGAAGUAGAGACGUGGUCUUUUAUGAAGAACAAACAAUUGGGGAUUCGGAUAAAGAGGCACAACCAGAUGGCGCAGUCAGAGGAGUUGAUCCAUUAGCUUCAGAUGAAGAAAGUCACGAUGACAUCCCUGAAGCAACUGCCAAUGAAGUGCCUGCAGAAUCAGAUAAUGCUAAUCAAGAGGAGCCUGAUCAAGAUGUGCCAAACCAUGAGAUUGCUCAUCAGGGGAGCCUAGUCAAGAAGAGCAUAUUCAAGGAGAACCCAAUCAGGGGGAGCCUCCAGCCCUACAAGAGAAUGAAGAUCAGGUCAGAAGAUCCAUCAGAAGUCGAAGACCGUCUACCAAGUAUUCUUCAUCAGAGUAUAUCAUGUUGACUAAUUAUGGAGAGCCCGAAACAUAUGAGGAGGCCAGAGCUCAUAACGACAGUGACAAAUGGAUGAAGGCAAUGGAGUCGGAGAUGGAUUCCUUAUCAAAGAAUGAUACCUAUGAGCUGGUGGAGCUUCCAAAGGGCAGGAAAGCAUUGAAAAACAAGUGGGUGUUCAAAUUGAAAAGAGACGACAACAUGACAAGGUACAAGGCUCGUUUGGUUGUCAAAGGUUUUGGUCAAAAGAAAGGAGUUGACUUUGAUGAGAUUUUCUCACCGGUGGUGAAGAUGACUUCCAUUCGAGUUAUCCUUGGUAUGGCAGCAAGCAUGGAUCUUGAGCUCGAGCAGUUAGAUGUUAAAACUGCAUUUCUCCACGGCAAUUUAGAAGAGGAGAUAUACAUGGAGCAACCCAAAGGCUUUGAAGUCAAAGGUAAAGAAAAUUUGGUGUGCAAGCUCAAGAAAAGUUUAUAUGGUCUUAAGCAGGCUCCGAGACAGUGGAAUAAGAAGUUCAACUCACUCAUGGUGAGUAAUGGGUACAAGAGAACUCAUGCUGACUCUUGUGUCUAUAUCAAACAAUUUUCUGGAGGUAAAUUCAUCAUCUUAUUGCUUUAUGUUGAUGACAUGUUGAUUGUCGGACAAGAUACCUCUAUGAUUAAAAAGCUCAAAGAAGAGUUAUCUAAGUCCUUUGACAUGAAGGACUUAGGGCCAGCCAAGCAGAUUUUGGGCAUGGAUAUAAUUCGUGACAGAAAAUCCAAAAAGUUGUGGCUGUCACAAGAAAAGUAUGUUGAACGGGUGCUUGAAAGGUUCAACAUGAAAGCAGCCAAAUCGGUAAGCUCACCUUUAGCCAAUCAUAUCAAGUUGAGCAAAGAGUCAUGUCCAAAAACAUAUUGAAGAAAAGGAGAAAAUGGCAGUUGUUCCCUACUCUUCAGCAGUAGGAAGUAUCAUGUAUGCAAUGGUGUGCACACGGCCAGAUAUUGCUCAUGCAGUAGGUGUGGUGAGCAGGUUUCUCUCUAAUCCAGGGAAGGACCACUGGGAAGCUGUUAAGUGGAUUCUCAGAUAUUUGAAAGGGACUUCUAAGAUGUGCUUGUGCUUUGGCGGUUCCAAACCAAUCUUGGAAGGAUUUACAGAUGCUGACAUGGGAGGUGACCUGGAUGGUAGAAAAUCUACGUCUGGGUACUUGUUUACUUUUACAGGGGGAGCCGUGUCUUGGCAAUCCAAGUUACAAAAGUGCAUUGCUUUGUCCACAACCGAGGCUGAAUACAUAGCCGCUACAGAAGCAUGCAAGGAGUUGUUGUGGCUGAAGCGGUUUCUCCAAGAGUUGGGUUUGAAGCAAAGUGAUUAUGGCGUUUAUUGUGAUAGUCAGAGUGCUCUGGACUUGAGCAAGAACACUACAUAUCAUUCACGCACUAAGCACAUUGAUAUUCGUUAUCAUUGGAUUAGAGACGCUAUCGAGAACAAGUUGCUGCAGCUGAAGAAGAUUCAUACCGAUAAUAAUUCUUCAGACAUGUUGACAAAGGUAGUCACAAAAUCAAAGUUGGAAUUCUGCAUUAAGGCUGCUGGGAUGAACUCCAGGUAACUUGGAGUCAUGAUCGGAAUUCCUCCCUCAUGGACUGGAGGGGGAGAUUGUUGGUAUAUGGUCCAGCCCAUGAUCAAUGUUCUAGAUUAUUCUAGUAAGCAAGAGAUGAGGCUGAAGCUUGCUAGACAAUUCUAGAAUGUUAUUAAGUUGAUGGAAGAAGCUAGAGAGUACUAGCUUCCUUGGUUGCAAAUGGAAAGAUCUAGAAGCUACAAGUAUAUGGCUAGUCUAGAUUUUUCUAUACUAGAGGUUUGAAGAAGGAACUAGAAACUAGUAGAAUGCCAAACCCUCACCUAUAAAUAUGGGUGUGAUGUAACCAAUUGAGAACCAAGAGUGAGUAGCAAAGGAUCAAGUCCAAAGCUAGAGUUCCACUCCAAGAGUGAGAGUGAGAGUGUUCCACUACACAUUGUGUGAGUGAAGUUUAGAGUGAUAGAAAGUGUGUGUUAUACUUUCUUGUAUCCAUCAAGCCUUGUCUUUGGCUUGGUAAGACUACUCUUGUUGUAUUCAUCUUUUUCAUAUAGUGAAGAUUGAUCCUUGUUUGGUGGACGUAGGCAUAAAUUGCCGAACCACAUAAAUUCUUGGCGUCCAUUUUCUACUUUACCUUGUGCAUUCUCUAUCUUGUAGUACCGACAUUCCUAACAAAAGUAUUGUUCAUAGUAAAAAGUACGGGCAAGCCAACUGCCUUGUUCUUACACUUGCGUUCUCCAAACGGGUGAAACUGCUAUUAUGAUCGGUCUGAAGUAGACGCGCUUAUUCUUGCGUGAGGAAAUUAUCAGUCUCCUUAACAAGAUAACAGCUAACUGGAGCUGAAGUUGGGGAUCCGGAACCCAUCAUGUAGCUUUUCAUAUUGUAGAACCAAAUUCACCACGCUGCCCUCAUCAUGAACGCCUAAUUUUGGAGUAACUUGUAAAGUGAUCUUAAAGCUCUUGUAUCGAUCUAGAGGGUUUCCUUCAAGCACUGUGAAAGUCACCGAAUGAUUUACAUCGUCUAUGGCUUCAGUUAACUCCUUGGAAAAAGUUGGUUUCCCAUCUGCUAACAUUUCAUCACAAAUCAAUUACUUGCUUCAUCCACAAAAAAACAUGUCGACAUAUAUAGUAAGAGAACAAUCUUUCAGCCACACUUACCUUCAAUAUAAUCCCACAAGAAGACACAACCCACUUUACCCCAUUCACCUUCAAGUAAUUUAUGACUCGGAACUUUGUCGGGGCUGAUGUUGCAUAUUUCGUACGGUGUUCGUGCAAAGAAUUCAUGGAACCUGUUUGCUUCAGACUUGAUUUCAACACUCGUCUCCACCUUGCUAGAAUUUGACAUUUUCCACAAGUACCAGAGUUGAAGGAAAAACGACUUUGGUGGUUCCCAACGUGAAAAUGGCGGGGUUUAGUGCAGCAACAAAGAAAAUGGCGGUGGCUGCUGCAAAUGGAUGUGGUGAUUCCCUCUCCCGCAGAAAAGAAGAUAAGUUUUUCUUACAAUAUUCUAAUUAUUCUCCAUGAUGAUGUCUGCCAUCUGCAAUAAAAAAAUAAUAAAAAGAAAAAAGACAGCCACUGAUGAUUGGUGAAGUGACGAGAUAAUCAUCAACUAGCUCAGCUCCACCCUCAGCACAACUGUGACGAAACCCACUUUUCUGAGAAAAUCACGAGAAAAGCAGAAAGCAAAAGAUAAAGCAAAAGGAAGACACAUGGGGACACUGCAAAAGUAAGGAAUAAACAUCCCACCAGAAUGAUGUAAUUUAUUUUUAUUAUCUUUCGGAGACAUCUGUAUAAACCCCAUCAGAGGGUAAUUAAAAAAAAAAAGCCCAAAAUAAUGGGCUGCAAACCCAAAAUAAGGGGCUACAAUGUCAUGGGCGAAGGCCCAUAUGCCCAAAAGACCCAUACCCUCUAUUACCACCAACCAGGUGAUCAAAAGUACGCCCAGUACUCCACAAUUAUUCGACAACCUGCCGCUAUUACCACCAACCAGGUGAUGAAAUGUACAACCCGUACUCUAAAAUCAUUUGGCAACUAGUCAUUCAUGCCACCAACCAGGUGAUGAAAUGUACAACCCGUACUCUCCUUCAUGCCACCAACCAGGUGAUCAAAAGUAUGCCCAGUACUUCAUAUUAUACAUGAACAUUACUCAUGUCAAUCAUACACAAACAUUCAUGAGUAUCACUCAUAUCAAUCAUACAUAUACAUUCAUGAGUAUCACUCAUGUCAACAUUCAUGAGCAUCACUCAUGUCAACAUCCAUGAGCAUCACUCAUAUCAAUCAAACAUUCAUGAGCAUCACUCAUGUCAAACAGCUUCAAAAGCUUCAUUUACAAAAGCUCUAGCUUCAAAAGCUUCAUUUACAGAGCUUCAGCUUCAAAGCUUCACUUAUAAAGCUUCAGUGCAGGGUAUACAAAUACCGCCUCCGAACAACCGCCACUUCGGCCCAUACAUGGAUUCAAUUUGAAGUCUCCAGCUAACAGACUCUAUUGACCGAAAAGACUUGGGGGACUACAUUAUAUACCAUAUAUUGGGCCUCAACUGGGCCUCAUAAAAAAUACUUGGGGGACUUAGCCCAUUAUCUAUGUACUGAGGAGCGAACCCUUAUUCUAUAAAAGGGACUUCCUCACUUUCAUUAGAGAGCAUCGCCGCCAGCUGAGCAACCGCCUCGCCGCGAGCAUCACUCCUAACCCAUCACUUAUGUAUUGAGGAGUGGGCCCUUAUUCUAUAAAAGGGACUCCAUCACCAUCAUUAGAGAGCAUCAACUCUAGCCCAUUAUCUAUGUACUGAGGAGCGAGCCCUUAUUCUAUAAAAGGGACUCCAUCACUUUCAUUAGAGAGCAUCGCAGCCAGCUGAGCAACCGCCUCGCCGCGAGCAUCACUCCUAACCCAUCACUUAUGUAUUGAGGAGCGGGCUCUUAUUCUAUAAAAGAGACUCCCUUACCAUCAUUAGAGAGCAUCAACUCUAGCCCAUCAUUCAUGUAUUGAAGAGCGAGCCCUUAUUCUAUAAAAAUGACUCUCUCACCUUCAACGCCACAAGCCGAGCCAACCAAGGCAACAUAAGCCACGAGCCGAGCAGCCUCGCAGCAUGUGCUACUUCUAGUUGAGCAUCAUCUCAGAUUGAGCACCGCCUCAUAUCGAACAUCAGUUCAAGACAACGUCUAGUUACUUCGGCCCACACAUGGACUGAAUUUCAAGUCUCCAGCCAAAAGACUCUCUUGACUGAAGACUUGGGAGACUACUGUUUAUACCAUAUUUAGGGCCUCGUAUUUAGAUCUUGUACAAAUACUCAGGGGACUUAAAUGUAAUUAUGUGAUAAAAGAAGGGGCAAAUAUGUAAUAAGUGAGGAGUCCUUAUUCUAUAAAAGGACCCCUCACCCUCACAAUUAGAGGAGGCCAAUUCCUAGGCCCUCUCACCCCCUCUCAACGCUCUCACUAUCAGUGCUCCCUCUCCCUCAGAUAAAUACAUAAUCAAAGUGGACGUAGCCCAAACCUUGGGGUGAACCACGAUACAUCUUGUGUCAUUUACAUUACUUGCAGAUUCACGGUCGGAUUUACGUUGUUCCAAAACCUCCGGUUUUGUGCAUCAACAGCCCUUACAUUUAUAUAGAAGAAAAGAGGGAAACAAAAACUUUACAAGAACCUAACAAUUUGCCCAUGCCAUCAGACAUGGAUGUAUUUAUUCACUAAAAAAAAUGCGUUAGUUGUAUUAUUUUACUAGAACCGAACAAUUUGCCCAGUAGACAUGGAUGGUGGAAUAUCUUGAUCAAUAUUAUUCCUCGUUUGCUCUCGUCGUUUCUAAGAAAACAAUGUUUUGUGGUUUUAUUAAAUAGCUGGAGACAAAAUGUUUCGAUCUUGUUCGUUUCUCUGUUUGUAUGCUUUUAUACAUGUUAUUUCUAAACAAUUUGUUUGUUUUAUGGUGGGCAUCUUUAAAAGUAAGAUACCCAUUUGUUUUUAAAGAAAUGUUAUUGUCACCUAAAAAUUUAAGUGUGUAUUUAUAAUUAUUUAUAUUUAAAAAAAAAUAUUCUUACAAUGAAUGUACAAUUAGAUUUUUGUAGUGUAAAUUUUCUGUCUUCAAUUUCGACUACUCGAAAUAUAUGAUCCGAUUGACCCCCAAACAUUGAGGUUUAAAUAUUUAUGGCUGGGGAAGACGAAUUCACCCAAACCUCGAACUCCUUUUCUUAGGAAAUAAAUUGAAAGUUAUAAUCUAAGGCCAAAUUCAAACCGAAACAACAACAUUCUAUUCUAUAAUUUCUCCUAGUCCUGAUCGGUUAGGGAUUCUAGUUAGUUCGUUUACAAACUACGUUGGCUAAUAUAUUUCAGUUACAACUUCAUAUAUAAAUGCAUUCUUCGUCGAAUUAACAAAUAAUCAGUUUGUAUCUAUAUAUAUAAAGUGAGAGCCCUAGUUUGGUGAAGCAUUUGAUAAACCAAAAAUGCCCUCACUUCAUACACUAUACCAACGUUAAUUGUCCAAUAAAAUUAGGGUCAAAAUUGUAAUAUAAUACAACGAAAUUCUACUGUGCGAAUAAUACAUGCACUCAUCUGAACAAUGACAAUUUUCAACCACUAGAUAAAAAUAUACACACUUAAAAUUCAUUGUGACCCUUAGAUCAAUCCUCCCACAAAUACUGCAUCACAUUCUAUCUUUCCACCAAAACCAAAAUAACAAAUAAAUUGAUAAAAACUGACAAACACUCCCUCCAAAUUAGAGUAGAACUGUCAAACACGUUGUCGCACAAAACAGAACACCGGUUGCAGCAGUUGCAAAGAUCGGAGAUAGAACCACCAAUCUACCACACGUUCUAGAGGGGAUAGCGAUCAUUCCAACCCCAAAUGCACAGAAAAGAGGAAGAACUCAUUUUCGUCUUCUGCACAAACCUCUCAUCCACGUGUUUUUCCAGAGUUUCUUCUGCAUCCACACUCAAUUUACACAAAUUCAGGUGAUUUUUUUUUCAUAAUUUCUACCCUCCAAUUAAGUAAUAUUACCCACAUGAAUCUGCUUUUCCGCUUGUUUUGUUUAUUAUUCUAUAUAAUUUAAUAAGGAAAUUCGAAUCAUUGAUGGCGUAGGAUGGGAUUGCUGGGCGUUCAAAAUUGCUCAGUGAUUAGUACUUAAUCGACCACACUGCUUAUAUUAUUUAAACUUAAUUGUUGUCAUAUGGGUUUUUCUGGAUUCCAUUUCUCUUAUUUAUGUGAUUUGAGUCAGUGGUAGUCAGGUGCAUGCAAUGAGAGACAUUUGAGGCUAUAGCUGGGAAUUUGGUUUCUAUAAAAUUACUUCUGCAAUUGGUCAGAAUUUAUAGGAGUUACUAAAAUUACCCCAUUACCAGUUUUUGUUUUACUAUAGUUGGUAAUGAUUUGUAAGCAGAUUGUACAUUGAGGUAAUGUGUGAAUUGAAUUCUGAUGGUUAAACUAAUACGACAAACUGGUAAAAAACCAUCACUGAAAAAAGAUAAAGCAUCACAACUGUAGAGUUUUGCCUAAUGAAGAAUUAGAACCGCGACGUGGGAUUCAACCACCCUCCACGUUCUGCAAACUACAAACCAGAUUGACAAAGACUCUUCCUCUACAGAAAACGAGGGGAGGGAGAAAUAGAGAUACAUAUUGACAAAGACUCUUCCUCUACAUCGACUGAUUCUUAUCGCAGGUAACUUUCAAACUUGAUUCUCAAUUUUCUAUGUAUUCCUUCCAGCGUUUGUUCAAACUUUCAAACUUGACUCUACUCGCCGUGAUCAACAACUGCAGCUUCUUGAAACAGCCUUUCACUCGUCAUAAACGACAAGUGUGGCUUCUUUACCAGUAUGUUUAUUAGUCUCUUUUCUAAUCAAAUUCAUUGCCAUUAAUUAACUGUUUCUCAUCGAUCAUUCAUUUCUGAUCAUAUUUUCAAUUUCCGUUCUAUUCCCAUUUAUACAUCUUUUUCAAUUGUGUAUGAAUUAUUUGCUUUGAUGAAGCAGAAUUAGAUUUGCGUUCAUAUUCAAUUCUAAUUAAUUGACGAUGUCCUUUGAGAGCGAGCCCAAACUAUCUAGCGAUUCGAUAUAAUCGGAGAAAGAUUUUCCAGGGUGAACCAUAUCCUUUACCUGACUAUUGAGCCGUAAAGUUUCCGGUUUCUUAAGGUUUCGGAUAUCCACUCAAUCUAUUGGGACCUGUCUGGAAAUCCCCACAGCCAUGUGACUUGCGAUUCUUCUUCUUAAUAAACGACUUAGUUUUUGCAUUUUUUGUUCGAAUUCAAAGUUUUUUUUAUACAAAUUUGAAGCUUUUCUUCAAGCUUAUUCAUUAUAUAGAUUCCAAAAUUUUUAAAUCCUCUCAAAGUAGUAGGGAUUUGGAAAUGAACUCUGCUAGAGAAGGUGGCUUGCGUUGAAAUUACCAUAAUAACAGUGUUGGGUUGGGAAUUUUUUACUGGUUUUUUAUUUAAUAUGUUUUGAAUCUUAUCUUGCAACCUGUUGUUUUUCUUCAUGGGGUUCAGGAGGAGGAACUUCACCAAGUAUUCAAAGUAAUCAAAGAUUCUUCAAUCCCGAGUUUUACCGAUCAUUCUGUUUGAUCAGGUUGCUACUUCACCCUUUAUGAUAAGUUAUUAGAUGCAUUUCAGUGUGUCCUGCAUUUGAUAACUGAGUUAUUUCGUUAUUGCUAGAAAGGUAAAUUUUACGCUAGAUUGCAAUGCAAGGUAUGUAACUCGAUAGUUUGAUGAGUUUGAAUUAUUUUUUUUAUUAGGGCUGUUGCUACUUAUUUAAUUAUGCUUGGCAAUUAGCCUGCUUGAUCGGGGGUAUGAUCGUUGUGAAUGCCGUAUGAUUGCAAUGGCAAAAUUUUAUUGAUUCAAGUGUGAAAUAGAUAAACAAAUAAGAAAAAACCAUGUUCAUGCGUAAACCAUGUCAUUGUCAUUGAAAAAACUAUAGGUAACCCUCUAAAAAUUAAUAGAUGAAGUCAAUGGAAUUGAGAGCUAUGUAAUCCAAGUCCCAGUUGCAUAUGUUAUUGGUGCAUUCAAGAGCUAGCUAAUUGAGGAAGAAAUUCAGAGGUUGAUGUAAGUUGUCUGCAAAGCAUCAUAACCUAGGGUUGAAGCACUUAGCUUUUCUCUACCCUCUUCCAUAUAAUUAGGAUUACAAGUUGUUUUAGAUAUUCAGUUAAUUUUGAAGCCAUUGGCAAUGUUUCAGUUGCAGAGUUUGAUUUAUCAAUUAUCUGCUAAAUGCAUGGAAUUUCAUCUUUUUUACUUUCAAUUUUGGGUCAAAUGUUGGGAAAUUUUUACUGGUUUUUUUAUAUAAUAUGGUUUAAAUCUUAUCUUGCAGCCUGUAGUUUUUCUUCAUGGGGUUCAGGUGGAGGAACUUCACCAAGUAUUCAAAGUAAUUAAAGAUUCUUCAAUCCCGAGUUUUACCGAUCAUUCAAUUUGAUCAGGUUGCUACUUCAUCCUUUAUGAUAAGUUAUUAGAUGCAUUUUAGUUUGUGAAACUAGGAAGGGCAUUCUUUUUGCUUAGUUGUAAGAUACUUGAGAAGCCGAAUAUUACACUUAAUCAAAGAACCGAAAUGGCAAUGUGCUAUUUCACUUUGUUUCUUUGAUGACUCAAAAUUGUAAUAUGAUUGAACUGAAUGAUUACCUGUUUUCAUCUGCAUCUCCAGAUUCAUUUCUUUCAUUUUUAGAAUCAUCAACUCCAUGAUUACCUGUUUUCUUUCAUAUAUGUUUUUCUUUUACUAAUUUAUGUUUUAACUUUUCGUUCUCUUUCAAUUUUCGUAAAUCUGAGUUUUAGAAAACACAUACAAUUCAUGUUACUAACAAAACUUUUGAUGCUUUUACACACUCAUUGGGAUUGUGUAAUGGUACAAGAUUAUUGUGUCGUGGUAAUUACCAAAAUCUUAUUGAUGCUGAAAUUCUAACUGGACAAUUUGUCGGAUCCAAAGUUUUCUUACCAAGAAUCCCUCUCAAAAGUACUAAUACUGCUGGGCUUCCAUUUAAACUUACAAGAAAGUAGUUUCCAGUGAAACUAAGUUUCUCUAUCACUAUAAACAAAUCUCAAGGUCAGACAAUACCACAUGUAGGCAUUUACCUUCCAGAUCACAUCUUCAGUCAUGAACAAUGAUAUGUGGCUUUAUCGAGGGGGGUCUCAAAGUCAACCACAACCGUGUUAGUAAAAAAUGGCUCCAUAAUCAGCCAACAAGGUGUAUUUACACGGAAUGUAGUAUACAAAGAAGUCUUGCUUCAUUCCAGCUAAUUAUGGUGAUUUCUAAUAGGUAACAAUUUUAUUAUCGAUAACCUUUCAGUAUGCAUUUCUCACUUAUCAAUUAACUCUUUUUAUUUGAUUUUUAAUUUUCUCACUAUCAUUUGUAGAUUGGCAAUGAAAAUUUGAAGCAUCAAUCAUGAACAAAUGGGUGGAAAUUGCAGCAUUGAUAUCAAAAUGAAAACUUUUUUUUCAAAAGAAACGGUGACAUAUAGACUCUAUGGGUAUUGUGAAUAAUGUACAUAUUGUUAUGCAAGAUUUAUAUUUUGACAUUUAAGUUGUUUUGUAUUUUUCUACGAGUAAUGUUUUCAUCUACUCUUUUUUUUACAUCUACUUACUAUUGUCCAUGGACUUUAGGUAGGAACUUGCGUCUAAAAUCCCAUGUUGUUUGACAAGUGCAUGAAUAACAUUUAAAUCAUUACUUUACGCAAAGUAAAAACGAAAAACAUGAUAACUUUUUAGGAUAUGCAUGAUAAAAAAAGAGUUCCUCUUUGCACAAUACAUUUAAAAUAUAUCUUGACAAUUACGAUGGGAAAAACUAACACAAUACACAUUUAGGGGCGCGUAGCACCCGUGAUGUAAAAAUGCCUCUCGCACGCACAUUAGUGGGUGCGGAGAGGCUAGUAAUUAAUUAAGAACAAGAGGACUCGAAACAGAAGCAGCAAAACAUGACCAUGACCAACAACGACAACGUUUUGGAGCCGCCCAUCAAUUUCUCGAUGGUGGAUGAGGGCGUAUUCCGAUCAGGCUUCCCGCAGCCGUCAAACUUCCCAUUCCUCCAAUCCCUUCAACUCCGUUCCAUUAUCUAUCUCUGCCCCGAGCCCUACCCGGAGGAGAGUUUGGAGUUUCUUCGGUCGCAAGGCAUUCGGCUCUUCCAGUUCGGAAUCGAGGGCAAGAAGGAGCGGUCUACGUCUCCGCUGAUUCCAGCAGAGACCAUCUCCGAGGCACUGAAAGUUUUGGUUGAAAUUGAGAAUCAUCCGGUGUUGAUCCACUGCAAACGCGGCAAGCAUCGGACUGGUUGUCUGGUGGGUUGCCUGAGGAAAUUUCAGAAUUGGUGUUUGUCUUCGGCGUUAGAGGAGUACCAGCGGUUUGCCGGCGAAAAAUCUAGGGGGACGGAUUUGAGAUUUAUCGAGACGUUUGACGUAUUGGGCCUCAGGGGGGAUGCCUUCACGGCAUUGUCCGCCAUUAUUAUUAAGUUUAUGCUUCCGGAAAGAGGCGGUUGUUGUACAAACAAGAGUUGCAAACCCAUAAACCCUAGGUGAUGUUUUAGUUUUUACGUGUUGAAAUUUUAUGCCCUUUUAGUUGUACCAUAAUGAAAAUUCAUUCAUUCGCUUAGUGACGGGUCCCACGUAUGGGAGUGAUUUUUUUGUUGUUGUUGAUUUAGCAUAAUCACGAAAUUUAGACAUGCUUAUAAAUUUAGUCCUCAAUUUAGGAGUAGGAAAUUUUUAAGAAUAUAUGGACAUGCAUGUUUACUUAAAAAAUUAGAAUGAAAAAUUAUGAAUGGAGAAAGUCAAAAAUACAAUGAAAGAAAUUCAUAUAAAAUUAACUACCCCUGAUAAAUUUGAUACCUGGAAUGAGAAUAAAAAGUCAUGAAUUGAGAAGUUGGAAAUAAGAUAGAAUAAAUCCGUACGAAAUCAACUACUCCCUGAUAAAUUUGAUUCUUGGCAUGAGAAGUCAUGAAUUGAUACGAAGUCUAAUUCUAAUUCUUUUGACAUAUUUUUUUCUAUUUUUAUUUUAUUUUUUAGUUGUUAAAUUAUCAAUGUAAAGUAGAACUCAAAUACUUUUUGACUCCACAUAACCACAUAAAAAUCAAGAAUUGAAACAGAGUAAUUCUAAUACUAAUUCGUACUCUAUCCUAGUGCAAAAAGUUAGAAUUGUAAAAAUUUAGAGCUGAUCUUGGUGAAAUAUAGAACGUCAUAGGACCAUGAUUCUGGAACUCCUUUCCCUCCUUCGACUGUGGUCGGCCUGGGUCAGAUUUCUUCGUUCAGGGAUUUACCUGUUCUGAAUAGUCUGCCCUUGAUGGGUCAACUCUAGUUAGUUAAUCCAAGCAUAGGAAGAUGAGACAAAAUACACACAAAGUUGUUAGGAUAUCUUUUCUUUUUAUAUUUGAGCGAUAUUCUAGUCUAAUCCAAAUUCAUGGAAGGAGGAUUCAAAUUUGGCUACAAUCGGAUUCACAUAUUAGGAUUGAUUUUAAAUUAAAUCCAGGUUGAUAAAAAUAUUUCAAAAUUUUUAAUGGAAACUUUUUUGUGAAGGUAUUGAAGUUGGGAUUGAAACAGAAGAUAGAGCGUAAUAUAAAGUUACAAUAACAUGUUCUAUUAAAUGAAAGUGACUAAAUAUUGAAAAAAAUGCUACACUGCGUGAUCAACUCCGGCAACGAGCAUUAGCACUGCAUCCACGGUUGUAGGGAUUACUCUGAUUCUGAGCACCCGGCUUGCAGUUGUUGGAGGAAGCACCUCUCUGAGAGCAAGGCACAGUGUUUCUCUGCAGAGCUUCAUAGCUUAUGUUUCGUGAGGUGGCCAAGAUGCGCCUGCUAAUCUCCGAGUCCAUGCCAAAUUCAUCAUCACGAUCAUCCAUACACUCUGCUACAGAACCCUCGCGGCGAGGUCUCACUGGAACCCAGCUCACCCCAUGAUCGCCGCCUGCAUCAACGGAGAUGAUCAGAGCGGCCACGAAGGCCAAGGAAAAGAUAAUCGCUGAGGAAUUGGCCAUAGGUUUUGGUAUGGUCUGUGUUUUUAGCUGCCAACUUGUAUUUUGUUGUACGCCUGUUUAAUUACUGAGGGAGACAGAUGGGGCGGCAAGAGAGAGAAGAGUUGGUGAAUUCUGAUGUAUAUAUUAUUGCACUCUAUUGUGUUAUUUAUAGUAGUAAAAAGUAUAAAAAAGGGAAAGUCCUAAGGGAAAAUCCUUAUCUUUCAGGCAAUCCAUCUUAAAUAACACACAAUCUACAAGAUAUUCUGCAGUCCCAUAAGGAUUUUUUACACAAAAAUUCCUAGUAAGUUUGGACUUUGAUACAUUUAAAUUUGAUUAAAUGGAAAAUUGGAUGCUGAUUUCUUCAAGGAGGUGAUUGUGGAUGCAAAUUUCUUCCUCCUUGAUCUUGGACAAAAUUGGACCUACAAAACAAUUAACACCUUAGGGUCAAGGCCAAGAGCCUCACGUGUCCACGAUGAACGCGGGGGGGGGGGCUUUGGCCGUUUGGCCGAAGAACCUCUGAUGCCAAAGUUAGAAUUUAGAGAGAAAAGUGUUUAGAGAGUAUUGGGAAUUUUGCGUGUUGGACCUAGGUUUUGGUGAAAAUGGGAGCCAAUACAUAGGGCAUAGGGUGUAACUUAUGGUUUAAUGUGUGAUUUAAUGGAUUAAUUAGGCAAUUAAUCGAUUAAUUGGUUAAUCAACACAUUUUUGGCAUAAAUAUUUUGGGGGUUAUGUAAUUUAUACCUUGUGGAAAAUAUAGGAUGAGGAUGGAUGAAAUAACUUUGAAUUUGUUACUUAUUUUGGGCAUGCUUGAUUUGGUUGAAGGAUGAUUGCCCGCUACUCGCGCGUAGGAAUCCCGUUGUACCUCAAGGGUAUUUUUGUCUUCUUUUGUCCAAAAAUCCACGUGUCGCCUUGUGAUUAUUUUUGGCUCCAUAGUGAUUACUUAAAUGACUUGCACUAAUUAGCCUUAGGGCUAGUUUGGUAUUACUGUGCUUUGAAAAAAACUGCUUCUGCUGUGCUGCGAAAAUAAACAACUGUGAAAUAAAGCGGUAGAGUGUUUGGUAAACUUUUUUGUAAAAAUGCUUUUAGCAAAAAAAUCAGUGUUAAAGUGUUUGGUAAAUUUUUAUAUAAAACUGCUGUGAUUAGGUUAAAUGACUAAAAAUGAUAUAAUGUUAAAUUUAAUAUAUAAUUUUUUAUUUUUUAAUCUCUAUAAUUGUUGAGUCAUCCAAACUCUUCCAUUUUCCAAAUCCCAUUUAUAAUUCUAGAGUCAUCCUUUUCGCCUAAUUUUUUUUUUCAUCUGACGUUCAGAUCCGAUACGUUAGCGUUCCGUUGGUUAUCAGACAGGAUCAAACUAAGCGUAGGCUGUUUCCGGAUCAGAUCUAGUCGAAGAGCUCUCCCCUAUCGUACUUAACUUGAAUAAGGCAGUUUCCCACUAGCCGCUUAAAGGAGUACUCAAGGAUUACCCUAUUACCGAUCUCGAACUGGCCUCCUACUGUCCUCGCUAAGAAAGAGUCUGCCCGCUUAAUUCAAUGAAGUAGUUGAUAUUUAUCUAUUAAAGUAAUUUAUCAAUUACGGCAUUCAAGGUCGGAUGAUAACAGUUCUCUUUACCCAAGAAGCUCGGGGAAAGGAAACAGAAGCCAUGCAGACUGAAAUUGACGAACUCCCCACCCACACUAAAAAGCAAAUAAAGACCCAUGUUUAGCGUCCUCCACUCUAAGGACCACAUCAUCCAGAAGUUCAAUCUCAUUUACCUCAAGAUCAUCGACAAGAUCGAUCUUCCAAUUUCUGAGACUGAUAUUUCUACCAUUUUUUCCCCUAGUUAUAUAACUUCCACUACCACUAGUUUCCCAGUUUCAUCUCCCCUACCAUCCAUGGCGUCUGCAAGCUCUCACAAACACCCAUCUCUUCUGUCAUCCAUUACUUUCCCCAUCACUUUCCCACCUUCCUCUUGGAGUUGCAGAAGGAGCUUGCUAUGAAGAUCUGUUGUGUGAAAUUGUGCAUCUUGGAUCGAGCACUUUUUUGACAACUGGGUUUUGGAUUUGUUUCCUGGUCUACAAUGCCACGAUGAGUUGAAAAAUACUCUGAUCAGAUUUCGAUUUCGAAAAUUGAAAUCCGACAAAACAAAAAUAUCAAUGAUGAAGAUUCAAUCUCAACCCAGCGAGAAGGAGAAACGGAGGAGAGUAUUUUUGAGAUUGUGAAAGUUUCAUUAAAAUAUACUGUUCACCCGCCUCCUUGAAAAAAUAAGUUGGUUUUGAGAAAUAACAAAAUGUAGCUUCUGUUUUUUGCCACUUUUCAGCUUUUAAUGAUCUGUGACUUUUAAAAUAAGCAGUGUUACCAAGCACAAAUUGUACUCCAAUUUUUUUUCAUCCCAGCUUUUAAAAUAAUUUAAGCAGUACCAAACCUUACCUUAUUCUAAUUGCAACAAAGAAAGCUGAAAUUGGAAUAAUUCGUGAUUUGUUCAAACCAAGAAUACAAAAGCAACAACCUACUAGAAAAUAUGCUCGUAGAGAUUUACGGGUUGUUUCUGCAAGUAAUUUUGCUAAAAGCGCUUUUAUUAGAACAACAUUGAGAAAUCAAUUUUAUAAUGAUAUGAGCAUGCCAAGAGAUUAAACUAGUUUACAACAUCAAUAUUAUAAUGAUAGUACUCUCAGUUCAUUCUUGCUCAUAGAAUUAAAGAGAGAAACCGAACUAAACAACAAUGCGGACUAGCUUGGUCAACUCUCAGGCCUUUAUUCUUGAAGAUAGCAAAAUUACUCAAAGUUCCAUAUCAUAUGUAUGCAUAAAUCUUGUGCUUGGCACUUAUUCCUUGAGAAGAUGUGCAUCAAUAUCUUUAAUGACAUUGACCAUAAAGCUGAGGUACUUCUGUGGAGGCGGAUCGUUCUCGUUGAGUUUUUCAUAUUCUAAAGUAAUUUUCACAAAACCUCCUUCACUCUUUGGAGUGACCUGGAAAAUGAUCUUGUAGCUUUUGUAAUUGUCCAGCACAUGUGAUCCUUCCAGAGCUGUAAGACUCACCCACUUGUUUACUUCAUCUAUUUCCACCUUUUCCUUGAAUGUCUCGACAUUUCCAUCUACACGUCACAUGGAAAAUUACAAUGAUACAUCUAUUCAUGGAGAGAUUUUUCAAUGCUCAGAACACUGGGUGGUACAACACAUGUUAUUAUACAAACGAAUGAAAAUUAUUUUCAAAUGUCUCUUCACUUAUAUAAUGAAAUAUAAUUUAUAUAUCCAUGUUCUGAGCACACUAAAAAUUCUCUCCUGUCCAUGAUCCGAUUCUUUAUAUAUUCAUCGUCAGGUAAUGCAAACCUAAUGGCGCAUGGAUGGCCUGGUCAAUAUAUUUCAGUUUUAAUUCUAGAAGAAUCUUAUACGUACAUAUACAUAUCACGUUAGCAUGUUUAUUUCAUAGCAGGUUAGUUUGUGUUAUUCAAUAAUAAUAAUAAUAAUAAUAAUAAUGUUACAGUAUUAACUAUAAACGUAACAUUAUUAUUAUACAACUUUUUUUAACAAACAAUAUUAUCUACAUUAAGGGAAAGAGGUGAGCUUAGCCUCACAAUGUUUGAAUGAUGGAAAUAAAUUUGGACUUUUGACAAAAUUUAGAAUUUAUAAAUUAACAUGCACCAAUUCUCUUGUCUAGAUUCAUAAACAUAGAAAUUUAGAAUUUCCGCGUGAAAAAAAGGGAGAAUUUGAGACCUCCAAUUCCCAAGUUUAAAUUUCAUGUAAAUAAGUCACUCAGUACUACGGUCUUGUAGUAUUUCUCUUCACUUGAAAGUGAGAGGUUAUAAGUUCGAAUCUUGUUGAUGACGAAUUUGAUACCAAAUUAGGCUACCCAUUGUGUGGCUUUGCCGAACUCCUUAGUGUAAAAAUAUCGAUGUACUAAAAAAAAUCAUGUAAAUAGGUGUUAUUCCAAAUUUUUAUGAGUGAGAGUUUAAAGAUAACAAAAUCUAUAUUGAAUUUAUAUUAUUCUUUUAAGUUAGUCAAACAAGAAAAUUUACAAAUUCUAGAAAUAAAAUUUCUUAGUAAUUUUAAAUUUUCUCAUCCAAACAGAAUGUUAGAGUCAUGAUGUAACACCCGUCGCUUUUUAUUUAACAAAAUUAAUUAUUAGUUUAACUAGGUUAGGAGGAGAGAGGAGGGUGAUUAAUUUCAUAUUACCUAGGGUGUAUUUCCAGAGCUUGACAGAGCCAGAAGUUUCCCAGUCACCUUCAUGUACUGCAACAUCGUGUAUUUUAUCAGAGGCUGCUUUGGGGACGUCGUGGUGCUGGUUGCUGAUGACUUUGUACAACUUAUCAGCGUUGGCUUUGAUCUCUACCUCAGCCUCCACAGUCAGCUUGCAAGCACCAGCUCCACUCACUGCCAUUUUCUUUUAUUUGUUAUUAGUAAUAUGUGAUUAGUCUGGGGAAAUUGUAGGAGACGUAUACUAACCUACAGGUUUCAACUUCUUAUAUAGAGUCGCAAAGUUGUAAAUUAACAUGUUAUAAACUGAUAGUUAUGGAGGCAGCGUGUGGAUAUGAUCCGAUCACUUAAUUAAAUAGUUAUAUAAUAAUAUUGUGUCUGUGGAUCUUCCAGGCAGAGUUUUAUUAAUUAUUACAUCUAGGGGUGGAAUUUUUUCCCGAAAAUCCCGAACCGUCCCGAUCCCGUCCCGAAAUUUGACUGAAAAAUUCCCGAACCGAAUUUUCCGAAACAUUCGGUACCCGAAACCGAACCCGUCCCGAAAGUUUUGGGUUGGGAUUUGGCCACAGCUUUGAAAGCUUUCGGUAAUCCCGAACCGAACCGAUUAUUAUAUAUAUUUAUUUUUAAUUUUUAAUUAGAAAUUACUUGAACCGUUGGAUUUGUUAAAAUCUAAUCCAACCGUCCAUUAGUUAGGUCAUUUUAUUAGGUUGUGAUCAGAUCUCUCGGACUCACUCACUCUCGGUCUCUCCGCUCCACUCUCGCUCACUCUCUGCGCUCCGCUGUCACUCACUCUCUCCGCUCUCUCUUGCUCACAGUCUCAGUCUCCCUCACACGCACUCUCACAAACAGUCUCGCCGCCCGUGCUCCCGCCGCUCUACUCCUCCGUCGAAUCCACGCUGCUCCUCAUCCUCCACAACUCACGCAAACACAGGAAGGAACCAAUUGAGUCCCAAAAUCCAGGAUAGGGUUUUUAAUUUUCACUGGGGUUUUGUCCUUUCUCUCUCUUUAACUCUUCAGACAGCAUUUCACAGAAACCCAAUUAAACAUAUGAAAAUAUACAAGCAACAACCUGUAAAAUUUAACAUAAAUAAACAAUGGUAAACUACAAUUAACAUAAAAAUUGCUCACAGAGAGAGAGAGAGAGAGUUCUUACAUGAGGUGCUGCAAUUGCUUGAGAGAGUUCUUACAUGUGGCUUUGUAGCUAGUGUGGAUUGUGACCUACUUAUUUGUGUGUUUAGAUACGCAAGCUAAGUAUAGCUGAUUGGUUUCGUAUCUGUUUGAGAUUUUUAUUUUAUUUUAUUUUGCUGUCAUAAUGUGCAGGACAAUCCCAAUUUCGAGGGUGAAACAUGUAGGAUCACUACUAGAAAUUUCCACUUUGCCGACAAAAAUAGUUUGUAGGCAAAAGUCAAAAUUCGUCGGCAAAGAGCCUUUCCCAACGAAAAAUUUUGUCGGCAAUUUUGUCGCUAAAAGCAUGUCGCGCAAGAUCUUUCUCGACAAAUCUUGAUAUUUCGUCGGCUCAUUUUUAAGGCGACAAAUCUCAGCCGUCAAACUGUGCCCAUCACCAAAACAACAUUGCGACAAAAUAUUUUGUCAGCAUAGGUUGUUUCUUCGCGAUGAAAUUAUUUGUCGGCUUAGUGAUCUUGUCGCGACAAAAUAUUUGUCGGCUGAGUAAUCUUGUUGCGACAAAACAUUUUGACGGCUAAGUAAUCUUGUCGUGACAAAAUGGUUUUUCGGCUAUGUAGUCCUAUGACAACAAAUUGGUUUGUCAGCUCAAAUGACUUGUGUAGACAAAAUAAUUAGUUGGUUGAAUCUUUUGUGAACAAAAACAUUUGUCGGCUAAUUAAUUUUGUGCCGACAAAACAUGUCAAGUCCAAUAUUUUCUAAUUUUUAAUAAUAUUUUUAACCAUCACAAACAAGCAAGCUUAAGAGAUCGAGAAGGGGCGUGAAUGAAGAAUUAAUGUAGGAACAACACAAAAUUCAUGUAAUAUAAACUAAUGUAAGGUUCACAAUUCGGUGUAGCUACAAAAUACAAAAAUAUCUAUGUUUUCAUUUCGAGAUUACUAUAAUAUAGAUAAAAUAUCCUUAAGUAUCACCAUUCUCACUAUAGUCCUCAUCAAGUUGAUAUGCAGCAUCAUGAAAUCGGGAAACGAUAAGGAUCAUCAUGAAACACUCCAGUAUCAAACAACUGUAGAAGAAAAACAAAUUAAAAAACUUGAUUAGCAAACGUUAAGGGUGCUAAAUAUCAUUGACAUUAAGGAACGCAAGGCCACACUAGUGGUAUUUCUAAACAAAUAACUUAUGAAACCAUAAAUGUGUAAACAACAAGAUAAAGAUAUCUACUAAUCAAGUUAACUUACCAACGCCAUGCAGCAUCACAACCUAGCAAAAUUACAUGUUUAAUAGAUACCAGGUAAUAACCAAGUUAACAUCAACUACUUAUAUGUCAUUCAUCAUUGUAAACAACAAGAUAAACAUUAUAAACAGCAAGGCAACAUGAUUAUCACUCUGUAAACAAGGCAGCAUGAUAAGUAGAUCAUAUAAAUCCUUGAAAGGUAUAUAAUUUAUAUAAACAUAACAAUACCAAUCACCUAUCUAAGUAGGUUAUAACUCUAGAACAUAAGCAUAUGCACCUGGAAACAUAAAUAAACUAUACUAAAGCAUCCUAAUUCAUCAUUGUUUAUAAUCUUUAUCAGUGUAAACAAGAAGAUAUAGACAUCUACUAAUCAAGUUAAUCCUCAAAUAUCAAAAUUACCUGGUGUGAAUGAUCCUCACAUUGGUCUCCAUGCCGUGCUGAUACCAGUUGUAAGCUAUCUAGCCCAGAAUUCCACUGAGCCAUAGACAACCUGCAAGUGUUAUAGAAAGGAAAAACAAAUAUGUCAAACCUAGACCACAAUAUCGAAAAAUUACAGUGGAAAUCUGGAAUUAAAGUCAAAGGACAUUGUUUUCACCAAUAUUAUACAAAUGGAUUGCCAAAUCAACCAAAAAUUGGAAACCUAGAUCAUAAAACUCGAACCCAAAUGAAAUAGUUCAAUUAAGAACAUGUUUUUCAUCCAUAUAUGCGAUUCAAUCAAAGCAAAUACAAUUAUUUCAUUUUCCAAUAAAAACAUGGAAAACGAAUACAAAAACAAACAAACAAGUUAGCAAAUUAAUGUGGUAAGGAAAAUGCAUAUACAAAAUCAUGAUAAAACCUGCAAUCAUGAUAAAAAAAUAUAAUAUUACAAAGAUAGAAAAAAAUUCCAGCCUUGAAUAUUUAUAACACAAAGAGAAUGAAAACUUCAUUUUAUAUCCAAUUCUACUCUCUCACUGACUGAUUAAUUAUGUGUGUUCCCCAUUUCCCAUAUACCAUUCCAUUCCAUUAGUUUUAAUAGGAAAGAUCAUCCAAAUCAUCUAAAACAAUGAAAACUUCAUUUUAUAUCCAUGAACAAAAGCUCCAAACUCUGAAAAACAAAACCAAUUUUAAUUCAUUCCAGAGCAACUGAAUAAAACAGAACUAAACACAACUGAGAAGAAAAACUGUUUAAGCCAAUCACACAGACUAUAUUAAAUCUUUACAAACCAACCGAAUGAUGCAGAAAUGCUUAAUAACAAAAUAGUUAAGCAACAAAUCAUGUAAAAUAAUCAUAAGUCAACUCAACAAAACCAAACAAAACACCGACACCACUGAAUAAACCCUGCCCAUUGGAAAAAAAUAAUACCUAACAAAGAACCCAACCACUGCAAGUGUAAAUUCAAAAGACAUAAGCGUUCAAACACUGCAAAAAUAAGUGGAAGAAAAACACAAAGUCACCAAAGACAAAAGCUUCCUAAAACGAAAAAUCAAACCAGAUGGAACAACCAUAGACAAAUGAUCACAAAAUAGAAGAAAACAUUUGAAAGAAAGAGCUAACAGACCUUUAUUCGAAAGGGCUUGCAACGCUGUUCACAAAACCCCCAAACUCUGGAGACCAAUAUUUUCUGCAACACAAAAGCCAAUCAGAUUAGGGAACCACACCGAAAUCACUAAAAAAAUAACCAAACAAUGAAUGAAAAACGCUAAAAGUUCAAUUUCACACCGAUCAAGCAAUAAUGUAUAGGAAAACCCUAAACCCGAAAGACCCAAAUUUCCCAAAACGAAAAAUCGAAUUAGAUCGAACAGCCACACCAAAAUAAGCAGAAAAAAAGAAGAAAACAUUCGAAACAAAAAACUUACAGACCUUAAUCACAUAUGCUCUGCAAGACUAUUCCCAAAAACCCUAAAAUUCACACACCAACUUUUGCUGAAACCAAAAACCCAAUCGGAUUAAACAAACACGCUAAAAACAAAGAAAAAAUUAGGAAACAACCAAUAUAACACAAACACUCUAAUUUUACAGGCAUCAAUCUGCAAAUUUUCUUCCCAAUCAAAGAAAACACACACACACACACACAAAAAAAAAAAAAAAAAAGAGAAACGACCUCAAACAGCGCAAUGAAUCAGAAAAAGAAACUCUUCAGACAACAGAGGAUCGAUGCAGAGAGAUAAGCAGAGACACGAAAGAUCAAGGCAGGCGGAAGAACACAUAAACAAAGAGGAAGAAAAAAGGGAAAGCUACGGAAGAAAAUAAGCGAUCCCUCGCUUCCGCACCAAAAACGACGGAGACCACGUGGUAGAUGCAGCAAUUGAAAUUAAACAGACCAAGCAGGGGCAAUUGCGUCACAACACUGUUACUUUCACUGUUCAUCAACAGUGUUCCACCCGUUUGGGUUUUAGUAUAUAUAGAAUUUAUACUUUCAUUAAGUAUAACAUAAGAAUCUGUGGUAUCCACAAGUGUAAAUAUUUUAAAUUGAAGAUCGAGCUCAUUCAUUGUAUUCAUAUAGGAUCAAGGAGUGUAGCUGUACAAAAUCAUCAAAAUCGAAGUUAAAAUAACCGUUAAAUCAUGAUUUUUCGUUUAUAACCGUCAGAACGUUUUGUCUCCUUACAUGAUCUCUGAAGGUUUUUUUUUUGCAAUUUUUGGCGUAUACGAUCUCGAAACAUAUAUAAACAAGUUUGACGGUUGGAUCGUUGAAACUAGUUUCGUAUAAUGCGUAUCCUAUGAAAAUGAUAGAUUCACUAACACUUAGAGUUUAUUUAUACUUUCAUUAAGUAUAACAUAAGAAUUUGUGGUAUCCACAAGUGUAAAUAUUUUAAAUUGAAGAUCGAGCUCAUUCAUUGUAUUGAUAUAGGAUCAAGGAGUGUAGCUGUAAAAAAUCAUCAAAAUUGGAGUUAAAAUAACCGUUAAAUCGUGAUUUUUCGUUUAUAGCCAUCAAAAAAUUUUGUCUCCUUACAUGAUCUCUGAAUGUUUGUUUUUUGCAAUUUUUGGCGUAUGCGAUCUCGAAACAUAUAUAAACAAGUUUGACGGUUGGAUCGUUGAAAUUAGUUUCGUAGAAUGUGUAUCCCAUGAAAAUGAUAGAUUCACUAACACUUAGAGUUUAUUUAUACUUUCAUUAAGUAUAACAUAAGAAUUUGUGGUAUCCACAAGUGUAAAUAUUUUAAAUUGAAGAUCGAGCUCAUUCAUUGUAUUCAUAUAGGAUCAAGGAGUGUAGUUGUAAAAAAUCAUCAAAAUUGGAGUUAAAAUAACCAUUAAAUCGUGAUUUUUCGUUUAUAGCCGUCAAAAAGUUUUGUCUCCUUACAUGAUCUCUGAAUGUUUGUUUUUUGCAAUUUUUGGCAUAUGCGAUCUCGAAACAUAUAUAAACAAGUUUGACGGUUAGAUCGUUGAAAUUAGUUUCGUAGAAUGUGUAUCCCAUGAAAAUGAUAGAUUCACUAACACUUAGAGUUUAUUUAUACUUUCAUUAAGUAUAACAUAAGAAUUUGUGGUAUCCACAAGUGUAAAUAUUUUAAAUUGAAGAUCGAGCUCAUUCAUUGUAUUCAUAUAGGAUCAAGGAGUGUAGCUGUAAAAAAUCAUCAAAAUUGGAGUUAAAAUAACCGUUAAAUCGUGAUUUUUCGUUUAUAGCCGUCAAAAGGUUUUGUCUCCUUACAUGAUCUCUGAAUAUUUGUUUUUUGUAAUUUUUGGUGUAUGCGAUCUCGAAACAUAUAUAAACAAGUUUGACGGUUGGAUUGUUGAAAUUAGUUUCGUAGAAUGUGUAUCCCAUGAAAAUGAUAAAUUCACUAACACUUAGUUUAUUUAUACUUUCAUUAAGUAUAACAUAAGAAUUUGUGGUAUCCACAAGUGUAAAUAUUUUAAAUUGAAGAUCGAGCUCAUUCAUUGUAAAUAUUUUAAACUGAAGCCCUUUUGUGACGCCAGCAUUAGUGUCGCUAUUCCAAUCCGACAUUACAUUGUUUUAUGUCAGAUUUUUUUCUAAAUUUCCGAUAGAAAUUGGGUUUCUUGUCGGUUUUUGCUUCGCCACUGAUAAGGUAUAUUGCAGUAGUGGGUGUUGGUACCAAGUAACAGAUUCAUGAUAAAUCGUUCAUUUAUUUGAUUCACAUACAUUAUCUCUGAGCGGGAAGAUCCCCGCCAAAAUAUUACAUGAUAUUUUAAAUGAUUUUUCGUUAGUUUUCAUUUUUUAUUAAAGUGUAACAAGGUAUGUUUAUAUCUUUCGCCAAAAAAGUAACCAAAAAUUGUUAGAGAAGGGAGACAGAUAAUAGGGGCGUGGAUGAUAAUCAGUUAAGAGUGCAAGAAUCGUAAACCUAGGGAUAGAAAUCGUCAAAAUUGUUUCUGAGCGGGAAAGACCCCGCCAAAUUGUUAGAAGAUAAAUAAGAAUUCUUAUCAAACUGAAAUCGGAUGGCGUGAGCGAAGAAUGUGGGAGGGAAGUCAUGAGCAAUUGGGAUUAGCAUGCAAUUGGGAGGGAGAUCAUGAGGCGACAAAAUAGGAAUAGCAUGCAAUGGGAGGGAGAUCAGGCAAUUGGGGGAUGUGAACCGACAAUUGAGGGAUGUGAACUGACAAUUGGAAUAAUAGAAAUAUUAUGGGAGGGAGAUCAUGAGGCGGCAAAAUAGGAUUAGACAAAAUAUGGGAGGGAGAUCAUGCAAUUGGCAGAUGUGAACCGACAAAUUAGGUUUGGAUUGCCACGGGAAAUUUAUAAGUUUGUUCUUAUAAUCAUAUGUUAUGUUUUUAGAAAACUUGGCAUGCUUGUCGAAUUAGAAUGGAUGAUUACAUACAACUGUAUUCAAAUUUACAAUUGUAAUUGCUAAUAAUUGAUCAUAGCCUAAACCAAGUUAUAUGUUGCUAGAAAGUAGUUUGGAGUUAGAAUUGAUAGGAAGAACUUUUUCAAACACUCACAUAUUAUGAAAUCAAAUUGUCAAUAUAGAUUAUUGAUGGCAUAAAACUACAAUCCAGAAAUAUGAAAUGCUAGAUAUCUCUUUAUCUAUGCUCCCGUUCAUAUAGAGAAACAAGAGAGAAUGACAGCAUAAAUAGUUGCCAAGAGCUUUGAUUGUGUUCCCCGGAAAAAAAUGGAUAGGUGCACUGGUGAAAACCUCUCACGUAGAGUUAUUAAUACCUUACCAAUGACAUACUUUAUUGCCUCUCUAAUCAAUUUGCCGAUGAAAUACUUUGUUGCCUCACAUCAUCGGCUAAUAUUUCAAUAUAGUGGGAAAAGUUCCCGCCAAAGUUUACCCGUCAAAACAAAAUUUGUCAGGGUAUCGAAUUUACGCCUACAAAAUGAUCGUCGGCUAACGUUUCAAUUUUCUCGGCUAAGAUUGGCAUUGUAAAUUGGUUCUAGUGUGAGUAUUCAGCCGACAAAUUAAAAAUUUCGUCGAGAAAGGACUCUUGUGCCGACAAAAUUUUGCUUUGUCGGUUUAAUUUGUCGGCAAAAUUAUAAUUUCUAGUAGUGGAUAUGCAUGAAUGCAAUAAUCGACAGGGGUGUUCUCGAUUGCUGCCAGCAUUGGUAUGUGCUUUAGUGUGGUUUUGUGUGUGUGAGAGAGAGAGAGAGAGAGAGGAAUUUUAUUUUAUGACAUGGGUUCAUCUUGGGGUUUUCAGGUUCUGUUUCUCAUGCAUUGACAAUUGGGCUACCAUUACAAACCUCUGCCCGCUUUGCCAGAAUGAAUUUCAAAUGAUCACAUGUGUUUCGGAGAGUGAUGCAAAUAAACAGUUAUCGCUUUAGUAUUAUUUCUGUUAUGAUUGCUAUGGAUUAUAGAAUGGUAUUAAUGUACAACCAGUUUAAAGCACAGUUGUUACUUUGAUUUCUUAACUAUCUGUUUUCAAUAGUUUUCUUUUUGUUGCAAACAGAAUUUUUAUUUUGAAGUUUUCUCAAAAUAACGAUUUGAUGCUGGUUUGAAGUGGCACUAAAUCAUAAGAGUUUGAUUUGUAUGUGAAGGUAUACGAUACUAUUGGGAGCAUCAAAGCGGACGAGGACUCAACUUAUAGGUACUUUCAUAAUUAUGGAUAAUGUGUUUAAGUCUAUUGGUGAGGGUUCUUUGUUCACAUUUAUGCGGCACAUGUUCCCAAUUUGGAAGCUUGGUUUGUAAAACUUAACUUAUUUCAUUUUGGUUGCAUGCACUUUUAAUUAAAUAGUUUGGUAGACAAAUACAAUUGUGAACUUAAGCUUAACUUGUUAGUUGCUUCCUUUGUAUGAAAAUUGAAACAUGUGGUAUUGUGAUAUUCAUAUUGUGGUGAAAUUGAAACAGGUGGGCUGGGCAGUGGCUGUGUAACCUUAAUUUUUUUUUUUUUUGGGGGCAGUGGCUGGCUGCAAUCUUAAAAGCCCAACAUUUUGGGCUUCAAGGCCCAAUCCCGAAGUAUCCCGAAAAUCCCGAAACACUUUCGGGAAUCCCGAAUUUCGGGAAAUGCACAUAUUCGGUUCGGUUUCGGGAUAUAAAAGCCCAUCCUGAAAUGUUUUGGUUUGGGAUUCGGGAAAGGAGUUUCGGUUCGGGAUCCCGACCCGAACCACCCCUAAUUACACCUACCAAACUUAAGAGCACGCGCAAACUUGAUGAGACAUAUAUCAACACGUGAGAACAAUGAUUGAUCAACAUUACCUCCAUAGUAUUAUUAGAGUGAAUGAUUGUAUGAUAUUAAUUUACUAGAGUGAAUGAUUGUAUGAUAUUAAUUAUGCGUUAAGAUCUUGGGAAUUUUAAUGAAAAAUUACUGGUAUUAUUCAUUUUAAUAAAAAAUUACAUUUUUACAUUAAAAAGUCAAUCUUAGUACUAUUCACUUUAUUCUUUAUUUUGUCCUUAUUGUUAAAACUCAAAGUUUUCAAGUCAUUUUCAUUAAUUUUCCUUAAGAUCUUUUGAUUUGGCAUGCGGAAGUGUGUGUGUUUGUAUAUUAUAUAGGGAUAAUACUAAGUUAGGUUCAUAUUAUCUUAACUAGUGAUAAAUUAAGGGUUCUUUCGAGUUAUUCGAAACAGUGGUUUAUAUUAUCUUGACUUACGUGCAACCUAAACACAAAAAAGAGAGGCUGUACUGGCUUCCAAAAUAAAACUAGAUGCAAACAAUAAUGUGGAGUUCCGGUUACUCUUUUGGAAUCAACCAAAGCUGAAUCAUUGAUGCCUAAUUUCAGAAAGUUUUCCUUUUCUGCAUGCAGAUCUUUUCAAUGGAUGUAGCUCAGUUUUGGGAGGUAACCACUUACUUCAUCGAGUUCAUUAAUUUUAAUCAAUCUAAAGUAAUUUAACUAAGUUUAUUAACCUUACAAUGUUGAGCGUUAAUACCCAAUUUUGGAGGAAUUGCAUCACGUUUAUGUAAAGGUAAUCGAAAUAAUAGAGCGGAAUUAAAUUCCAAUUACGGAAUACUCCAGUAUUUACCAAAUAUUGGAGAAUAAAAAAUUUGAUAGCACCCACUCAAUUUUUUAAUCCAAUACUAAUUCAUAUUCAAAUUUUGGAAUAAAAAAUCUAAUACUAAUUCGUACUCAUCAAAUGAAAGUAAAAUCUAAUUCUUCAUUUUUUAAGUAAUUAUUGUAAUGUGAGUAAACGCAUGAAAAUCAUGAUUUAGAAUAUUUUCUAAUGCAGACUCUAAGUCUGAAAUUGAAAUAUAAAGAUAGCCGUUGACGGGUCGAUUCUGGUUAAUCUAGGCAUGAGAAUACGAAAAAAAUACACACAAAGUUAUUAAGAUAGCUUUCCUUUUUUAUAUUUUAGCGAUAGUCUAGUCUAAUCCAACAUUAGACCACAUUCAGUGAUUCAAACUAAGAGAAGGGGGAUUCAAACUUGGCUACACUCGGAUUCUCAUAUGAGGAUUGAUUCUGAAGUAAAAGAAUAUAACCAAGUUGAUCAAGAAAUUUCAAAAUUUCUAAUGGAAACUUAUUAGAAAUUUUUUGUGAAGGUGUUGAAGUUGGGAUUUUUUUGUUUGUUUUCGUAUUGAAGUUGGGAUUGAAACAGAAGAUAAAGCAUAAUAUAAAGUUUCAUUACAAUUAACAACAUGUUCUAUUAAAUGAAAGUGACUAAAUAUUGAAAAACAUGCUACGCCGCGUUGAUCAACUCCGGCAACGAGCAUUGGCACUGCAUCCGUGGUUGUAGGGGUUGCUCUGAUUCUGAGCACCCGGCUUGCAGUUGUUGGAGGAAGCACCUCUCUGAGAGCAAGGAACAGUGUUUCUCUGCAGCGCUUCAUAGCUUAUGUUUCGUGAGGUGGCCAAGAUGCGUCUGCUAAUCUCCGAGUCCAUGCCAAACUCAUCAUCACGAUCAUCCAUGCACUCUGCUACAGAACCCUCGCAGCGAGGUCUCACUGGAACCCAGCUCACCCCAUGAUCGCCGCCUGCAUCAACGGAGAUGACCAGAGCGGCCACGAAAAUCAACGAAAAGAUAAUCGCAGAGGAAUUAGCCAUAGGUUUUGGUACGGUCUGUGUUUUUAGCUGCCAACUUGUAUUUUGUUGUACGCCUGUUAAUUACAGAGGGAGAGAGAGGGGGCGGCAAGAAAGAGAGAGAUAAUCGGUGAAAUUUUGAUGUGUAUAUUAUUUCACCCUAUUGUGCUAUUUAUAGUAGUAAAAAGGGAAAAUUUUUGUCUUUCAAGUAAUUCAUAGGAGUUAGGGAAAAUCCUUGUCUUUCAAGUAAUCCAUCUAAAAUAGGACACUACGUAAAAGAUAUUAUACAAUUCCAUAAGGAUUUACACAAUCACAUUCCUAAUUAAAUUAAGACUCUGACAUUUUUAAGUUUGGUUAAAUAAAAAUUGGAUGUUGAUUUCUUCAAGGAGAUAAUUACUUAAUUGACAUGCUUUAAUUCAACCUUAUUCCAAUUGCAACAAAGAAAGCUGAAAUUGGAAUAAUUCGUGAUUUAUUCAAAACCUACCAAGAAAACAAAAUCAACAACUACUACAAAAUAUGCUCGUAGAGAUUUCCGGGAUGUUUCUGCUCUUAAGUGUUUUUGCUAAAAGCUCUUUUAUCAGCACAAGGUUGAGACUUUAAUUAAAAAACUAAGUUUUUCUCGAAAAAAUAUAAGCAUGCCAAUAGAUUGAACUUGUUUACAACAUCAGCAUUAUAAUAAUAUUGUUGGAAAAUAUUAGGUUUACUUUAAUGUUUGGUUUUCUGGGCUUAGCCCGUUAGUAUUAGGGUUUCGUUUUCUUGCUUAUUAGGGUUAUGUUAGUUCUCUAUAUAUAUGGUGUUUUGUAGCUUGUAUGAUUAACAAGUUAGUCACAAUGUAGUCUCUAGGGUUUUUGUAGCCGUCUCGGCAUUCUAUGUUUGAUAUCAAUAAUAUUUCUAGUUUUGUAAUCCGUUUGUUUGUUCAUUGUGGUAUGUGCACUCUGAUAUUCAACUUGGUAUCAGAGCGGGUUUGAUUCCUCGGAAUUUAAUCUGUUUUGGAUGGAUAUCAAUUUGUUCAUCUGUUUGUCCACUGCGUAUCAGUUCGUCAUGGUAUGUUUUGUUGGUUUGUCUGUCUAGUAGUAGUUAGGGUUUUGUUAUAUGUUUAAAAAAAAAAAAAAAUUGAAUCAGUUUGCUGCGUCAUGUCAUCGUCCUCUGCUAAACUUGGAAUCGCCGCCACGAACCCCACAUCACCAGCGUGCUCCUACCAUCAGGACAUCACCGCGCCAACCCGCCAUGCCUGCACCCAGUGCCACCAUGUCCCGCCUACAACCCCGUUGUCUUACCACCACCUGCUGUAAACCCACAUCGCUCGCCUGCUUGCGCGCCGUGCAGACGGGAUUUGAUAAAGCCACACCAACUUGCUGCAAAUACAUGCAGUUGAUCCGUACCCAUGAGCCUGCUUGAAUCUCCGCACCCGACCCGCUUGUCGCCUGCACCCACUGCUUGCUUGCCGUUCCCAUUGUUCGUUGACCAGAACUCGCGCUUGGUUUACGCGUUCUGGAGAAAACCAUUGGAAAAAAGGAAGCAGAAUAAAAAGUAAGAAAAAGAAAAAAAAAGUGAUGUUUGAGGAAAAGGAAAAAAGAAAAAAAAGAAAAAGAAAUGCAAAAGUAUUAGAAGUUGGGCUUGCCGUUGGUCUUGUUGAUUGUUUUGGAGAAUGACUAUGGUCGUCUGCUAUUGUACCCACAACGAUUGUUCGAGUGCUUGGAUUGUUGAUUACUCGAGUGAUUAUUGUUGAGGUUUUCGUCUGCUUGUUUGUUGCCGUUGGGCUAUUGGAAUCUCGUCCGUUUAGUGACAAGGUCCAUGCUCAAACGAAAUAUGUCUGCCCUCUGCCAUGUGAAUCUAUAUCCACCUGCCUGUCUGUCUGUCCGCGUUGCGGAGCCUGCCUGCCUGUCUGUCUGUCCGCGUUGCGGAGCCUGCCUGUCUGUCCGCGUUGCGGAGCCUGUCUGCCUGUCUGCCUGUCUGUCUGUCCCCCUAACGGAGCCAGUCCACAUCUGCUUGUUUGCAAACCCAUGUCGUAUACCGCCAUGAGUUUGACUGGGGGUGUUGGAAAAUAUUAGGCACACUCAAUUCAUUCUUGCUCAUAGAAUUAAAGACAAACCAAAUCGGAAACCGAAAUAAGCAACAGUGCUAACUAGCUUGCUCAGCUCUCAGGCCUUUAUUCUUGAAGAUAGUUAUAUUACUCAAUGUUCCAUAUCGUAUGUAUGCAUAAAUCUUGUGCUUGGCGCUUAUUCCUUGAUAAGAUGUGCAUCAACAUCUUUAAUGACAUUGAAUAGAAAGCUGAGGUACUUCUGUGGAGGCGGAUCGUUCUCGUUGAGUUUUUUAUAUUCUAAAGUAAUUUUCACAGAACCUCCUUCACUAUUUGGAGUGACCUGGAAAAUGAUCUUGUAGCUUUUGUAAUUGUCCAGCACAUGUGAUCCUUCCAAACCUGUAAGACUCACCCGCUUGUUUGCUUCAUCUAUUUCCACCUUUUCCUUGUAAGUCUCGACAUUUCCAUCUACACGUCACAUGGAAGAGUACAAUUAUACAGCUAUCCAUGAUCCGAUCCUUUAAAUAUUCAUCGUGUGGUAAUGUAAACCCUAUGGUGCAUGGAGGUCUUGUCAGUUUUAAUUCUAAAAGUACAUACAUAUGAGGUAACGCAAACCCCUAGCUUGCUAGGUUUCAAGUUAGCAUGCCUAAUUAUUUUGCAGCAGGUUAGUCUGUGGUAUUAAAAAAAAAUUGUUAGUCAUAAGUAUAACCUUAACAAUGUUUGGUUGUAAUUUGCUUGCUCCUUCAUGCAAUCUCACAGUCUCACUACCAGCUCCACAAGUUUGCGGAGUAAGCUGCUUCAUUCACCCCAAAAGGGGUUCAUUUCACUAUCUUUUACACAGCGGAGGCUGUAUAAAGCUACGACAGAACAAAAUUCGGCACCCGGGAGAGGGACGAUCUCCAGAGAUUCUUUUACAUUUUUUGUAUUUCUUUUUUUGUUGAAUCAUUUCUUGUAAUUUAAACAUUUAGCGUCAUCUUGUAAUUUAAAUAUUACCUAUGGUGUAUUUCCAGAGUUUGACAGAGCCAGAAGUUUCCCAGUCACCUUCAUGUACUGCAACAUCGUGUAUUUUAUCAGAGGCUGCUAUGGGGAAGUCAUAGUGCUGGUUGCUGAUGAAUUUGUACAGCUUAUCAGCGUUGGCUUUGAUCUCUACCUCAGCCUCCAUAGUCUCCAGCUUGCAAGUACCAGCUCCACUCACAGCCAUUUUAUUUUAUUUGUUCUUUAUAAUAUGUGAAUAACGAUAGUGUAAGUCUGGGGAAUU
rnacentral:lncRNA from 1 species